GUGCUGACAAGAGGGCAGAGGCUGGAGCUGGGUCAGCUACUGAAUUUCAGUUUAGAGGUGGAUUUGGGCGUGGAUGUGGUCAAUCACCUCAGGAGAAAUCUGUUGCUGUUUGGUUGCAUCUUGUGUAUAAUAAAUAGGUGGAAAAUGCAAAACAAAACAAAACGUCCCUAUAGGACUUUGGCUCCAGCUGGAGACGAGGAAACAAUCUGGCUCGUUCCUUCCAACUGUAGAACCCUUCUCCUUCAAAGCAAGGUAGGCCUUAAAGCACAUUACACAUCCAUUUCAAACAUUUUCCUAUGAAAAGCCCCUUCUAAUCUACUGCUAACUUGACUUAGUCUUAGCACACGCUGCCACAACAGCAUGCCAAAACUCUUUAAAUCCUGUGCUUUGCUGGAUUUAUUGUGGCAAGAUAAUGUUACUUUAAUGAGGCAUUUCAUGAUUUACUUUCCAUUUCGGCAUAGUUUAAAAACAAACUCACGCCAUGGAAAGUGGGACACAAUCGGCUGUGACAGCGCUUUCAUUAUGAUCUCUUACUGCAGCCUUAUAAAUGGGUUUAAAAUGGAUAUUAUUUACCUACUGGGUAGUGCCGUCUCUCUUGGAUUAUGGGAGAGCCGUGGGCAAAUUCUUUAUUUAGAUAGCAGCUUGCCUUUCCCCCUGUAAUUUCAGGGUAAAUAUAGUUUUCGUGGGCACCACGUUUCCGUUUCACUCGGCCGUUUCCACAGGCUCCCUGUUUCAGAGGCCGAUUGCCCUGCAGAAGGAGUAGCCAGUGGGGCACCUUCCAGACUCCAAACUCCCUUCAGCCCCAGCAGGUAUGGGCAAUGGUCACGGGGGGGGGGAGUUGUAGUCCAGCAACAAUUGGAGGGUCCUACAUUGGUUGUCCCUGUCACGGAGAAACUAGAAGAAACACUAAAGGUAAAGGGUAAAGGGACCCCUGACCAUUAGGUCCAGUCGUGGCCGACUUUGGGGUUGUGGCACUCAUCUCGCUUUAUUGGCCAAGGGAGCCACCGUACAACUUCCAGGUCAUGUGGUCAGCAUGACUAAGCUGCUUCUAGCGAACCAGAGCAGUGCACGGAAACACCGUUUACCUUCCUGCCGGAGUGGUACCUAUUUAUCUACUUGUAUUUUGACGUGCUUUCAAACUGCUAGGUUGGCAGGAACAGGGACCGAGCAAUGGGAACUCACCCCGUUGUGGCGAUUUGAACCGCCAUCCUUCUGAUCAGCAAGUCCUAGGCUCUGUGGUUUAACCCACAGCGCGACCCGCGUCCCUCAGAGGAAACACUCAGAGGAAACACUAGGGAGCAGCAAAAGAGGAAGAUAUAUUAGGGGCCAACAUGGGACACGGAUAAAUUAUGGGACCAGGAUAAACACAAUGGAAUAAGGGAAUCACAAAAAAUAUAGCAUAGAAUGUACGUAACUUGAUUCCUCAGGAAUCCUUGCAUCUUGAAACUGAAUUCCAGGAGACAAUUUGGAAACCUCACCUGGUCCAGUGGAUGAAUUGACAAGGUCUGGUGACAAAGAGGUUAUUACACCUGUGGUCAGAGAGCUAGGCUGGCUCCCAGUCAAGUUCUGACUUUUAAGGCCCGAAGGCAGGCUUACCCAACAGGUGGGCCUCCAGCUAUUGCUGGAUUCCUGCUCCCAAGAACCCCAGCAGCAUUGCCAAUGGACAGGGAUGGUGGGAGCUGUAGUACAACACUGAAGGGCUCUGCCCUGACGUCUUCAGAGAUCUGAUGGGAAUUCCCAGCAUCACUCUUCACAGCACAGGAUUAAGCGGCAGCAGCAACUACCACCAUCUUCAUUUCCCUGGAUGCCUCUGGACCCAGAGACAAUGGGAAUAAUGGAGAAGGCUGUGACUGCUUUAUCAGACAUUGGAUCAAACCACAGGGGGAAAUCUUCUCUUGAAACUGAGGGGGUAUUCGUGAAUUUGGUUUGUGACAUGGUGUGGGAAAAUAAAUUAUGAAAAGGGUUUUUUUAAAUCAUCAUCAUCACCACCAUCAUUGGGCAUUCCUUAGAGCCCACGCAUAGCUGACUUGUUGCCUUCCAUAUAUGUUUGGACUCCAAGUCCCAUCAACCUCAAAAAGCAUGGUCAGGGUUGAUGGGAAUUGUUCCCAUCUGGAGGGCAUUUGGAGGUCCAAGGAGGACUUAGCCCUUGGAUAUUUGUUUGUUUGUUUGUUUGCUUGCUUGCUUGGUGGUUUGUUUGUUUUAAAAAUUAAAUUAUAUUAUCUUUCCCAAAAGUUCAAGAUCACUAACAAGGUACUUCUUUGCUACUCCUAAGGGAGUUCUUUCAAUCUUGGCCAUUGUGCUUGUGAGACUUCCAGCACAACCUAAAUAAAAGAAUGUCAAAUCGCAUAGAAAAAGCAGCGAUAAACUGUUUGGUUUUAUGGUGCAUUUUUUUACCCUCUCCCCCUCAAAAAAUUAACAUAUUGCCAUGUGGUGUUGGAACAUGGCUUGCAACCCUGGUAGUACUUAAAUGAAAGAAGCUUUUCUAAAUAUUUUACAGCUAAUUAAUUAGUGAUGAAUAGAAAUGGUUAUUGUGAUACAUCAUAGAUUUGUGUGAAUUAUUGAAAGGUACAUUACAUCAACGGAUGUAAGGACAGUAGUUAUAAACUGGCACACAAAAUUAUUUAUAAAUGUCUCACAUCUACGACAAGUCGCCACACCUAAAAGGAUAUUUUAUUAAGAAAAUUUUAAAUAUUAUAUAAGAAAGCUACCCCCCCCCCACUGCAGUUAAGUUGGGCUGGUUCUAGACACAUCAAAGAAGCAUUUCAGUUAAACGCAUUGUAAACUUUGUAAAACGGAACUCCACAGUGCCAUCUGGUGUCACAGUGUUAUAAUGAAUAUGCAACGCAUAUAAAGCGCUUUUUCUUUGCCAGUGCAGGUAAGUCCCUGGAGUAAUUGUUAUGUACUGAAGUUCUCACCCUGGGCCAGCAGGGGGAUACUGUAGAUAGUUUUCACUCAGGUCCACAUAUGCAAAUAAGGGAUUGAAAGUGACGUUCAGUGAUUGGAUAGUUACAGAAAAUGGUUACUGUUGCGUUCUAGUGGAGCUCUAUAUAAGCAGGCUGGCUGAACCCUUCAGUUCAGUUCUGUUCUGGCCUGUGAAUAAACAUGAGCUGUUUGAAGAAUCUCUGUGUCAUCUGAUACGUUCAGCCACAACUUAACAGUAAUACUACUUAAUGGCACCAUAGAAUGAACUAGCAUGAUAGGAUGGCUUCUUCCAAAUCACCAAAAAUAAGCUUGUUUUCUCCUGCUCUGGAGGGUAGAACCUGAACCAAUGGCUUCAAGUUACAAGAAAGGAGAUUCCAAUGAAACAUCUGGAAAAAACUUUCUGACAGUUUGACAGUGGAACAGUCUCCCUCGGGAGGUUGUGGAGGUUUUUAAGCAAAGGUUGGACAGUCAACUGCCAUGGAUGUUUUAGCUGAGAUUCCUGCAUUCCUGGGGGUUGGACAUGAUGACUCUUGGGUUCUCUUCCAACUCUAUGAUUCUAUGAAAAAUGAGGAUGAAAGAUGACACCAAUUUGCAUAAUAUUUCCAUAUGUUAAUUUAGGUUGUGGAUGUAAACUAUAUCCUUUACAUAGAAAUGCAAUACAUCUCACCACAGACAGUGACCAGGUAACCUCUGUGCCUGCUGAGUCUGCUGCCCUGGUGCUAUUGAUGGGUUGGUUCAACGCCCAGGGUUUCCUUUCUUACUGAUUUUGAUCUUGAAGCUGCACUUGGAACUGGACAACCCUUCAAAGAAAGAACUCCUUCAAAUAGAGGAUUGUCUCCAGGAAAGUAGGACGCCUGCCCAACCUCAAGAACGAGCCAGAAUGUUGAGAAAUAUUUAGUAUCAAAUGUUGGCCUAGUUGCACAUCACAUCUGCAGCAGCUCACACAAAUGAAAUAGUUAUCUACGUUGGCACCUGUAGAGCUCAUACGGGAAGUUGCCUCUGUAGAAAAGGCUUACAAAGCACAGCCUAUAAAACACACAGAGGUUAAAAUGCAAGUUAAAUAUAGGUCAAAGCUAACAGUGUGUAUUAUAAUACAAAUCAGGAAAUAUGAUGAUUACUGGUCACACCCAAAUCAUUGCAGUGGAGCACUUGGGCAGAGGACAUCAUUGCUCCUGCUCUGAAAAAGUCCCAGAACUGCUCUCCUCCACAUUCUCCUUCCACAAAUCGACCAUAAAAUAUGCAUUUUUGAAGUCUGGGAUUGUGUAUCUUAAGGCAGCUCAGGUCACCAGUGCAUUCUAUGCUCCUCUUAAGCAGCCUGGCUCUUUUUCAUCUUAUCCACUGUCCCUUUCGCUUUGCAUCUCUUAAAUGCCAGAGGUGAUCAGCUUUGCUAGACACAAAGAAAUAUCCUUCCAUGAAUAAGAGGAAGCACAGGAUGAAAAACAUAAGACAAUAUCCUGGGGGAUCAGAAGCAUGCAGGUUCACAACCAGCUAUGUGAAGGAAACCACCAACAUUGCUAAACAGGAACUGCUACAGCAUGGAGCAUCAUGGAGCCUUCUUCAGAUGGAGAACUGAGUGAGCUGAUGUGACCUCCUGCUUAAAUUGAACUGAAAGGUUUAUAUUUAUUUUUUGAUCUGUUGCUAUGGAAGCUGUGGCUUUGAUUCCUCGCGUCCAACUAAGUACCUUCACACUCUUUUUCUCCUAAUCCGUAGGUCUCUUCUCACAGCAUGUUUACAGUGUGGGAACUUCUACAGUGGAGCUGCUUCUAACACCACUUGGGUAACAUGAGAAAUCCCCCAAGUCCUUGAGAUGAGUCCACAGUACAUUAUUGUUGGAAUAAGCAACAGACUUUAAUUAAGCCCAUUGGGUGAGAGAGGAGAAAAGCCUCUAAACAGUUAAUAUCAGCAGGCAUUUCUGGAUACAACAGAAGGAAGGCAAAAAAACAAACAAACAAACAAACAAACAAACAAACAAACAGAAAAACAGAAACUAAACUAAACUGUUUGUUCCUACAUACAUGAAGUUUACAGCUAGUUGUGUGAGUUUUUUGGGUCACUCUAUCUAGUCAAUUCUUUUCCUCUCACCCAGAGGAUAAAAGGGAACACACCCUUCACUUUCCCAAGAGAUCUCGGUUAGAUCCAGAAUAAUUAAUCUGAAUUUUAAAAAUAAUCUAAAAACUGAAAAAGAAAAUGGGAAAGAGCAUCAUUUUCCCAACUUCCUCCUCCAGCUGUAUGUGAGAAGAAGGUAGCCUUUCUUGUGACCAAUGUGGUUUAGAAAUGCUCUUAUAAGUAAAUGAAUAGGUGGUUUAGAAAGGCUUUUAUAAGUAAAUAAAACAUUUCUGACUCACGAAGCCAUAAAUGUCUUAUACCCCUCAGAGGCCACAUUCUACCCUAGAUCUAAUCACGACCUUCAGGAUAAAACACCUUCUUACCAGUGAAACCUGUGUGCCAAAUAUGAACUGUAAAGUCGCAGAGAGAGACAUUCCUGGUUGCUACCCUACAGACAACUGCACAUAUUUCUUCCCUAAAGGUCCAGGCCUGUAUGCCACAAGUAGGGAACCUGUGCCCUCCAGAUAUUGCUGGACUGCCACUGACCCUAAUGAGUAUGGCCAAUGGUCAGAGGUGAUGGAGGUUGUAACCCAUAUGGAGGACCACAGGUUCCUCAUCCCCGAUAUGCAUCUUUCAAAAGUGCUGAAUGGGGUGAGUCAAAAUAGAUUAGGUUGAUAAAGUCCAAACUGAAUGCAAAGAGUUCUGAAGGUGAGGAGCACUAAUGUUCAUUUGCUGUUAAGAAACUAUUACAAAAAGAAAAAUGGAUGCCUUGAAACGAAGACGAAUGAUUCUUCCUUGCUCUGGAUUGUGUAGCACUUGCUCCUUUAAGUGCCACUCCACUCUGCACUAUCAUUAGUUAUCACUGAAGCUAUGCAAAAAGUUACUAUUUGGCAUGAAUGAUGGUGGUCGCAUCUUGUCAGUCGAUGAACAUUCCAACAAAGGACAUAAUAUUUUGUAGCUUGUGGGGGAAUUGGAAGAUCCCUUAUGGAAGGCAGCAAAAGGUUCCUGAGCAAAACCAGGAAUGUUAGGUAGAAAUACCUCUUUACAAAAGGGGGAAAAAGAACAUUUUGUCUCAAAGAAUAGGACCAAAUACAAUUGCUUAACCAAAAUAAAAAUACUGUGUUAUGGGUUUGUUCUCUGAGCUUGAAGAUUCAAUUAUUGAUUUUUCACAGGAGUGCUCCUUUUUCGGAAUGAAAAAGUUAUCCAGAGUCUCUCUUACAUAUUCUAAGAUUCUUAAAUUCUCUUAUGUUUCAGCAACAUGGAUGAGAUUUCUGUGCAAUGAAAGGUGUAGAAUUUUGUCUAGCCUUUCUGUAGCAAGAUCGUAAUGAAAUAAAAGUGCUUCUUAAAUGUUAUUUCCAAAGGUUGGUGCCAGACUUUUACUGAGGUUCUGCUUAAUCUAGAAACCUCAGUGCCAAUUCAAAUAUUCAGAGAGGCCACCUAAGCUGUACAGCUUCAGAACACAGGGUCAGGGAUGGGGGAGGGGAGGUUACACAUUUGAAUGUUUCCACGUGUAAAAGCCACUCUGAAUGUGGAAAUGCAGUCUGGGAGAAGGGCUCAAGUCUAGCCUUUUUGCUGGCUUCUUAGCCUUCUACAGAUAUAGAGAGGUGGUUUGUUUUUGUUUCUGAUACACAGAGCACUCAGAUAUAUAACUUCAAACCCUAUUUCUAAAGAAAGUUUCUUUCUGUGCUUGCAGCAACCAAUGAUAUUGGGAAAGUCACUGAACUAUCUCUGACGGCUUCCAAGAAGUUAUUCCCCAAUGGAAACUGGGUGUCUGGUACCUAUAACUGCUUUUGGCUGGAGACUGAAAAUACAGUCAAAAUCUAGAGAGGGAAAAAGCAAGUCUACCAAGGGCAGAACUAUGUAGCUCCCUCCCCCUCUCAUCAGAUCUUUUUAGCUUAGAUUGUCUUCUGUGUCAGUCAUCUUCCCUGAUGGACACAAACAAGGUAAAGUCACCAGGUCAACUUCCGCUAAUGAGUGCAAGAAGGGUUUCCAGUUUCCAGGAGAUCUGCUUAAGGCUAAACUAUCCUUGCCUUUUCCUUCACAUCAGUCUUGAAUGAAACUGCUGUGUGCUACUGAUUCAUUAGUCCCAUCUCUGCCUGGGAGCCAUUUUCUUUAUAGGAAAUUUCCAAGAAAGUGCAACACAUGUUACGCUGAUGAAGGAGCAAAAGGCUUCCAUGCAUGUGAAAGGGAAAGAGUUGAUGAUUUCCAUCCCAUUUCUUCUUUGUUUUGAUAAUGAAUGUGAUUUGCAGCAUAUAGUUUCCUCUCUGCAAAGCCACAAUUUUUCAAAGAGACAGCAUGACUAUUGAACUUACCUCAAAUGAAUGGCUUUUCAGCCAACAGCAAAUCAAUGAACAAAGACUCCCCCUUCCCCCAGAGUAUGAAUGUAUCAAGCAUCACAGCAACACCAAAGAAAGUUUUGAUUCAUUUUGUUCCCUCCUAGAUUACUAGAAAUAAAAUGUGCUGCAACAAAAGUUUCAUUUUCAAUAGAAUCCCUGUAAAUCCACCCAAAGGAACUUCUCUGCCUCUACUUCCCAGUGUAGACAAAAUUCAGAAACCUGGAAAAUAGUUGACAACCAUUGAUGCUUCACUGGUCCUGAUUCUGGCUUUGAAGGACACAAGAUGGUGGCUUGGCGAGAUGGUGGCUUGAAUGACAAGAAGGCCAAACCAAGCCAUGUCCACAAUGGAUAGGACUCAGCAAAGAGCUACUGCUAUAUAAAAGUGACUCAGCCCUGAGUUCUGGUCAAUUAGGAGUCCCACUAAGGAGGACAUGGGCUUCCAGAGAAAACUACCACUGGCAGCUCUGGAGUUGGAGCAGUCCUCCAAGAGGCUUCCUUACCAUGACUAGAAUUCCCAUUUGUGCUGAAUAUAUAAGGGAGGAUGAAAAUCCAGGCUCUCUAACCUGGAGGUCAGACUCCCCCACUCCCACCGUAAAUCAGACUAAUGUAAAUCAUGCUCUCUGAAGCCCAUGCAGAUUAGGAAUGAUAGACUAGAGAUUAGCUACAUGUUACAGAGAAGCUCUGCUUAGCUAGAACUCCGCACAGGCCCUGGAAUUAUCUGUUCAUUCGGACUUCACUCUAAGCAGUGAGUGUAGUGCUAUUGCAAGAAAUUUGUUAUUGCUGUUGCUGUGGCUCAAACCACAGUAGUUUGAGCUAAGCAGCCUACUAUACAGGCAAACUAUAGUGGCUCCUGCCAGACGUCCUCUCCAUAAUAACACCAUAAAGGGAAUUUCCCCACAGCAGCCGUAAGUACAAAAGCGAAAUUAAGUCCCUGAACCAUGACCAUAUAUAAUGCAAGCAUAUAUGGUUAAUUAAUUGGUUAUUAAUUAACACCAAGAAGGUAGGCAUUCUCCAGAAGCAUCUUCUAAGUAAUCCAAGUCAUUGGAUUACGUCAAAAUUUACAUUUCCUGUGAAAUGUCUCCACCUUCUCUACUGUGCCCCUCCCCAUCAUAAAGAGUUAAACUCAGUCUAAAGCUCAAUACACAGCUGGAGUAAUUUCUAUCUUAUUAUAAUCAUUCUACCAUAAUUUCCCCUUCUUCACAGAGAUCUUAAGAUAUUUGUAAUCCUGGUGGAUUUCUUCAGCCAUUUCAACUAGCAGAAUUCAAACUACUGUGGCAGAAAACAUUUCCUAUACCAAAGUCAAGUUAUCCCACUUAGAAGAUUACGGAAAGGAACUCGUGCCAAGGUGCUGUUUCAGGAUGAUUGACUGUGAUGAUGUACACAGUAGUUGAAAUGCAUUGCAGUAUGUACAUUAUAUAUCAAGACACUGAAAAUGAGGGGAAUCAGCUGUCAAGCUAUCAAUUAUGAUAUGUCAUCUUGCAGUGCAACUUACAUAAUGUCUGGUGAAUGAUGUACCUAAAUUCAUAGAGCUUUCCAUCUCAGAAUAAAAUGGACACCACAUAGAUGUUCAAGGAAGCUGGGCAACUCUUUGGUUUCAAAGAGGCUCAAAUAGUCUGGCACUGGAUUUUCUUUUAGUAGGAGGGCUUUAAUUAUUUCAGAUCUGGAACCUAAAAGUAUCUAAUUAUUCCAGAUCUGAUGCAGCCCCAAAUCUCCUUAAGGUGCAGGAUCUUGGCCUCCAGUGCUGUGACUUUGCUGCUUUAUAUUGCUUAACUUGAAGCUUUCUGGGAAAUGAUAUAUAAUGAACUGAAAAAGGUAUUUAAGUAUACCUUUCUGAAGAAACCAGAGGCCUUUCUUCUGGGCAUGGUCGGCCAAUUGGUGCGAAGGGAGGAUAGAACUUUCUUUAUGUAUGCUACAACAGCAGCAAGAAUACUCAUCGGGAAGUACUGGAAGACACAAGAAUUGCCCACCAGAGAAGAAUGGCAGAUGAAAGUGAUGGACUAUAUGGAACUGGCUGAGAUGACCGGCAGAAUUCAAGACCAGGGAGAAGGGUCGAUGGAAGAAGACUGGAAAAAAUUCAAAAUAUAUCUUCAAAAGUAUUGCAAUAUAAAAGAAUGUUAGAAGGAGGUUGGAAAAAGAAAUAUCAGGUCGUUUUGGUAGAUAUGAUAUAAUGGUCAGCAAAAAUGAGUUGAUGAAUUUGAUGAAAUAGAGGAGGUUUAAUUAUAUUAUUUCAAUUUUAAAAUAUGUAAAUGAAAAUAAGAUUAGAGGGAUUUGCUGGAAAUACGAUCUGAAUAAGAAUACAAAAUUGGGAGGUGAGAGGAGGUCAUUGGAAAUAAGUAAAGGGAAAAGGAUAUGUAAAGGUUUAAUCUGUUUUUGUUUUGUUUUUAACUUAAUACAUUUUUAUAUUUUUUUGUUAAGUUUUUUUUUUUAUUCUAUCUUGUUGUUCUUUUUACUUGUUUAUUUUUUGCUCUGUUAUGGUCGAAGUGUUCUUUGUAUUCUGUAUGGUUUUUCUUUUUUUCUGUGAUUUUAAAUUUGGAAUAAAUAUCAUUUUUUUAAAAAAAUAAAUAUAUAUUGCUUAACUUGUUGAAUGAUUUAUGGCAUUUCAAUUGUACUCUGUUUCUAUUUUGUUUUAACAUGCUGUCCACCAUGUGGGGGCCCUUUGGAAUGAAAAGCAGUAUACAAAUAAAUGGAUCGUGAUGCCCCUAAAUGUUCCAAUCGAGCAAGAGAGAAGCAUGCAAAACCAGGCUUCUGUGUGCAGUUUUGUUUGAUGGCUUAGGAAGACACCCGCAAAGGAACAAUCCUAUAUGCUACCAUCCAUAUGGCACUACAGUCCCAUGUCUUGCAAGGCAGACAAAAGUGGCUCCCUUCUAGUUUUCAUGAGAACCUUUUUCAAGUAAAAAAUAAUUUGCUGCAGAAAUGUGGAGAAUUUAAGACUGGAAAAUUUAAGAUUGGAAAAGUGAGAAACUGAGAGUACCAGUAUUGAUGGAUCCAGAAUGCGGCAGCUAGACUGGUGACUGGGAGUGGCCGCCGAGACCAUAUAACACCGGUCCUGAAAGACCUGCAUUGGCUCCCAGUACAUUUCUGAGCACAAUUCAAAGUGUUGGUGCUGCCCUUUAAAGCUCUAAACUGUAGGCCUGAAGGAGUGUCUCCACUCCCAUUGUUCAGCCUAGACACUGAGGUCCAGUGCUAAGAGCCUUCUGGCAGUUCCCUCACCGUGAGAAGUGAGGUAACAGGGAACCAGGCAGAGGGCCUUCUCGGUAGUAGCACCCUCCCAUCAGAUGUCAAGGAAAUAUACAACUACCUGACUUUUAGAAGAUAUCUGAAGGCAGACCUGUUUAGGGACGUUUUUAAUGACUGAUGUUUUAUCGUGUUUUGAAUAUUCUGUUGGAAGCCUCCCAGAGUGACUGGGGAAACCCAGACAGAUGGGCGGGGUAUAAGUAAUUAUUCUUAUUAUUCUUAUUAUCCUUCCAUCCCUUUUCUCCACUCCAUUUUCUCUGAUCCCUGCACCCAUCCCGGUGUUGUCUAAAGGAGGGGCAUGUCUUUUGUUUUUCUUUCCUUCUCCUUGGCCUCUUCCUUGUAUAUUUGAAGAAGCGGGAACAGAAAGAGCAUGAAUACUAGCAGCAGUGAUGUUAAAUACCAGCAGUAUCUUGCACUUUAGAGCAUUCCAGGUAUUUGCAUCCAUUAUCUCAGUAAACCCUGCAACAACCCUGGAAGAGAGGUCAGUACUGCUAUCCCCAUAUUGCAGCCCCUGCAGCUUGCCUAAAGCAGGUUCAUGGCAGAGAAGGGAUUUGAACUGGUUCACAGCGCAGAUUUUCUGGUUCACAGCUCAGCUGCACUGCCGCCAUGAUGUAAUCACAUGGAUUACUAAGCUAUUGGGCUUGGCAGAUAGCAACAUAAAAUAUUUGAUAAACGUUCCAUGGAGCUUACAAUAAGUUGCUCCCAGCUUUUGGGGAUCUAGCUGCUGGAAUCACUGGGAUCUUAGUUCCCACCAUGGCGCAUCUGUCUGGAAACCUCCUAAAUCCCAUUGUGAAGUUAAUGUCUCCCUCUCUCAAAAUGUCAUGUUCUUCUUGUAUAAAGCUAAAAGAUCAUUUUUAUCUCCAGCUCCAGUAUUAAUAGCAGGUCAAUGGCUAUUUCCAUCUGCCUCUCCAUCAAAGUGUCAAUGCUGAUUAAGCACACAUCUAACCACAUUAUGCAAUGCAACUGCUGCUCAGGUUGGACUACUAUUGUAUUUUAAUGGAAGCGUCGCUGUUCCCGGUCACCGUAGCACCAAUUUCACUAAUGCCAAGAUCAUGGGCUUGACCUAGUUACACCAUAAAUGAGAGCAUGAAAGGGUUUAGUGUUCUUCCUACUUCAUCGACCCAGAGUGGGCAACUUCUACACAUACAGAACACAAAAUGGUAAAAUGGUUAUUGGAUUGUACCACUUUAGACUGCAUGUGGGCAAUUGCAUGGCUGAAUACUUCCCCAUAUUUAAAUUUUUAAAAACCCUCCUCCACUUCUGCCCUGUCCCACUCCAGCAACAUCAACGUAAGCUAUAGCAAAAUAAGUGAGGACUCCAUUACUUUGGUCCUCAGCACUCAUGCUUAAUCUCCUCACCCACUGUUUCCACACUGGGAUCAGGGAUUCAUGAAACUGUUUAACGCAAAUGGUUUUGUCUGCUGCUGGUAUUUUUAUCUGAUGCUUUUCUAGCAACAACUUUUGAGUUCACAAUACCAACCAAGGAUUGAAAAUUUAUUUCCAUCAAUAUAAUUUCCAUCAAUAUCACAACAGCAUAUACAUAAAGCAAAAGGUCUGUGAAGAAGGUAGCAGGGAAUUCAGAAAGCAUUGACCUUUUCUCUUUGUUUGAAUGAAAUAUUUCUUGUGCCUUUUUUGUUCUGUUUGUGCUGUGAGCUGCUACUCACUUAUGUCCUGCAUGUGAAAAGUAGACUUAUUAUCUAUCUAUCUAUCUAUCUAUCUAUCUAUCUAUCUAUAUCUAUCAUAUCUAUCUAUCUAUCUAUCUAUCUAUCUAUCUAUCUAUCAUCUAUCUAUCAUCUAUCUAUCUAUCUAUCUAUCUAUCUAUCUAUCUAUCAUCUGUCUGUCUGUCUGUCUGCCAUCUAUCUAUCAUCUAUCUCAUUGGGCAGAACAUGAUCCUGAGUCUCUCCUCCCCUCUUUGCCCCCCGUUUUGAAAUCUUCAUUCUUUUCCGAAUCUUGCACUUUGGGAGGGGAAGUCGUCUUUGGUGUUCUCAUUCUAUGCACAACGAAUAGCCUACAUUUCUUAACACUACAGCAAGGAUGGGGAACCUUGUGGCUUCCUGGAUCUUGCAUGUUGGCUGGGACUGAUGGACGCUGUGGAGUCCAGCAGCAUUGUAGCACCAUAACUUGCCCAACCCUGGGUAAGUAGUGAUAAUGAUUAUGAUACUAGUGGCGUUUCUUCCUUGGCGGGGCAAGGCAUCUGUUUGCCCUGCAUUGAUCUAAGCUCCACCCAAGGAAGGGUUUUUGUCAUUGUCGUUGUUCAAUGAGAGAAACAUCUUUCAUUACACUAAACAUGUUAGUUGUAAAUAAGAUGACUGGCCUUGUCCUUUGCUGCCCUGACCCUUUAUAUAAAGGAAUUUUACACUGCCAUUAAAAAUAUAUGACUCCAGGGAUUCGGUUGACAAGGUGAAGGCUGCUGGAAUUUGCCUUAAUGGCCAAGCUGGCUUGGACAUUCUUUGGCAGUUCCUUCUUUCGGUGAAUAAUUUACAAAGGUUCUCAAAUGCUUUGAAGCGACUUCAAUGCAAGUUGCAACUGACUCUCCAGAAGAAUCAUAUAACAGCUUCGCCCCAGGUUCCACGGCAGCACAGAAUUAAAAAGCACUUAAUGGUUGGUUAAUCAUUCCUGUAGCUUGAGAAAAUGUGGCUUGGUUCUUAAAGACAUUCUUAUGCAAUUCAGCAUCAAUGGCACAUGGUGAAUUGUAGUUAGCAUAGCUCAGGAAAGGGCACAUAGAGGGUUGGCUUACGUGUACAUCUUGACUGCACACUUGGAGCUGAUUCAUUCACACAUGCACUUUCACCACUUAAUGCCUACAGUAUCUGGAAGUGCUUGUGUUUGUGUGUGAAUGGACCAUCACAGAUAAGAACAUCACAGAUAUAACUUCCAUGCCUCAGCACAUCAUCUCAAGUGCAAUGCUUUUCAGGGGAAUCAGUUCAUGCACUGCAUGAGAGCAAUGCCCAAUGAACUUAGCUGAAUGCUUUCUGGCAGUAUCUGAAGUUGGACCACUCUUCCUUGUGAGCCUUGCAAGGCCCCAUUUCUUUCCAUCGCCCCACCCCCACAGAGACUCAUAAAAACCUCCCAUUUUAGGCAGGCAUUUCAAUUUGUACCCCUGAAACCUGCAGUAGAUUUUAUAAAAAUCUGGCUCUUUUGUAGUCCUGUGCUUGCUGCUGUUUCUUUGAGUUGUUGUUGUUAAUUCAUUAUUUUAUUUUAUUUUAUUUUACCCUGCUUUGGGGGCAUCUCCCCAAAAGUUGUCUAUACAUUAAAAACAAAGAAGGAUUUCCGUGCAUGGGAAAUCCAUGAAUCAAAUAGGAUGUUUGAUGGAAUCUACUUAUCCUAUGAAGGACGUGGGUGGUGCUGUGGGUUAAACCACAGAGCCUAGGACUUGCCGAUCAGAAGGUUGGCAGUUUGAGUCCCCGUGACGGGGUGAGCUCCCGUUGCUCGGUCCCUGCUCCUGCCAACCUAGCAGUUCGAAAGCACGUCAAAGUGCAAGUAGAUAAAUAGGUACCACUCUAGCGGGAAGGUAAACGGCAUUUCCGUGCGCUGCUCUGGUUUGCCAGAAGCGGCUUAGUCAUGCUGGCCACAUGACCCGGAAACUGUACGCCAGCUCCCUCAGCCAGUAAAGCGAGAUGAGCGCCGCAACCCCAGAGUCAGCCACGACUGGACCUAAUGGUCAGGGGUCCCUUUACCUUUACCUUUACCUUUACCUUUACUUAUCCUAUGGGGUCGAUAUUUUCCAGGGCUACAUCCAGUGCUUGAUAUGGUUUAUGUAACCCGGUCAAAGUCUCAGCAGGAACAAUUGGAGAGACAGAUUCAGGGUGUUAUUUUAGUCACUUUUCUUCUUCAUCAAGUUGUUUUCAGGAAUCUGUUUAAGACAUCAGCAUUGCUCACCCGAAGCUGACUCAUACGUUAACAGGGACUAUAUUUUCUGUGCAACCAGGCUGGUUGGAGAGCAGAUUGGAUCUCUGGGGAGGAAGACGAUUGCCCUCCCAUCCCCAGCCAAGUCAGGCAUCCAUCACACAUCCAGAGUUGCAAGGACAAGGGGUGUAACUCCUAGCCAAGAAUAAUUCCACAACUCCUAUUGUUUUCAAAACUAAAGGCUAUAUUCAGAGUAGAUCCACUGAAGUCAAUGGAUUUAUUUAAGUCAAUUGAUUUCAGUGGAUAUUACUUUGAGACUGACUGACGUUGGAUAUCAUCCAAAUCCAAGGUGAGCUUUUGAAUAGCUUUCAAUCAACUUAAAAAAGAAAACUGUGUCCAUGAGCCAAAGAUAAACACUUCUAAGUCCCACUGACUUCAGUGGAGGGAAAGCAAUGUUCUUACUCCAUCAUUUAAGAUCAAUGGCAGGUGUUUAAUCAUUCUGACUGAAAAGGGUCUCUCCAAAUUGUCCACACUCUUCAGGAUGACACAUGUUGCCAUUUUUUUCUUGGAAUGCGGGAGGUGAAAUUCUCCAAUUGUAUUCCUUAGAAAAUCCUUUUUCUUUUUCUUUUUGGCUCACUUAAUGUUGAAUUAAACUCUAUUGCUAUUUCAUAUUGAUAAAUGAAGGGAGGAAUGGGCAAUCUUUCAAUGGGUGGAAUUCAUCGUUGAACUACGUUGAACAUUCUGUCUCUACAAGCAUAUCAGCUUGCUAGAUGGAAUGAUUCCUCCUCCCCUCCACCUGUGCACUAUUUUGGGGGCUUCUCCCAAUCCUUUAGAGCCAUUUUUUUGGGGGUGGGGAAAAGGACGGACACAGGGGGAGGAGAAGGGGAAAGACCCAUUGUGCAAGUGUCCUAGACUUGAGGCUUGUCAGGCGAAUCUCUCCCUAUAAAAUUAAACAGUAUUAAAAGUGGAUCCACAAUUGUGCCCCCAGACUCGUGUGCAGUGAAACUGGGGAGGCCCAUGUUGCAAAAUGUUCUCAAGAGGACUGAGAUUCUCUGGCAGGGCAGGGCGAGGCAAGCAUUUCUUUUUCAAAAAGAUAGCUAGAAAAAUCUUUUCGGAGACAUUUCAGUUUAGCCCUACUGCUUAAUCUACCACCCUGACAGUGAAAUCCUAUCCAUAUAUACCUAGAAUUCAGUGGGGCUUAUUAUUCCCAGGUAGGACUGCAGCCUGAGUGCUAUUUACCUGAAACCUCCUCUUUUCAAUGGUAUAACUGCAUUUUUAUUUAUUUUUUGCACACACCUAACUGUUAACUGCUUUAUAAUCCUAAUCCUAACCAUGUUCGCUUAGAAGUUAACCCUAUUGAUUUACAUGAAGUGACCUUGAUUUUGGUUGAUGCUCCUCUUAAACAUGAGCACAGGCAAACUAUUUGUGGAGAAGAGAGGGGGAAGGGGGAGGAAAAUUCUGUCUUCAGCUGAAGGUUUAUCUCUAAACUGCUCCAUUUCUGCUAUUUGCGAUUCAUGAUUUGCAGUGUUCCGGGAUGUCACAUUGGGUUGUGUUCAUUCAUUUAUCAGAGGAAUACACUUCUGAGUCUGAAGUACGAAGGAAGUACGAUAAACAGCCAAUAAUGACUAAGGCAAUGUGCAUAACAAAUACUCUGGCUGAAACCCUGACGCGGCUAUUUGUCGUGUGUGAAUGAAUGUGUUAUUGUCCUAAGCGCUCAUUCCCCAAACAAUGCAUUUACUACCAAAAUGGCAUUUCUGCAAAUACCAAGGAGCAAUGAAGGGGAAAGAGCACUGGCAUACUUAUAUGCUUCAACAGCUACUGCACAUCCAUCUGGCCUCAGGAUAAGAGCGAGAGAAUGUGUUGGUCUGGACCUGCCCCCUUACAGAGCAAACAGAGGCAGCAAAGGGAAAGAGAAGCUCCAAAGGGAGGGGAGAAAGGAAGCAGAAGAAUGGCAAGGAGGGACUUUUCACAGCAGGAGCGAAGGAGGAUAAUGGGUAGAGCAAUCCUAAGAAUGUAAGAAGAGUCUGCUGGAUCAGGCCCAUACCCCAUCUAGUCUAGCAUCCCAUUCUCACAGUGGCCAACCAGAUGCCUGUGGAAAGUUUGCAAGCUGGACAUGAACGCAACAGUACACUGCCCUCCUGAGAUUUCCAGCAACUGGUAUUCAGCGAUGGGAAUCCUCAGGAAGGAUGUCAUCAUAUAAUGGCAGUGGGACUGGUGGGGGAUUCUCAACUGCUUUAAUCUCCCCACCUCCCUGUCUUGAGGCCUUCUGCCAAUGGCAUGUUUGAUGGGAAGAAGGCAAAGCUCCAUAUGAUGCUCGCGCCCUCCAUUGUCAGAGGCUAGUGGCAGAUCAGCUUAGUUCAGAGUUUCCCACUUGGGUCUCCAGCUGUUGUAGACUACAACUCCCAUCAUCCUUAGCUAGCAGGACCAGUGGUCAGGGAUGAUGGGAACUGUAGUCCACAAAGCAGCUGGAGACCCAAGUUUGGGAAACCCUGGCUUAGUCCCACAGCUUAGACACCUCCACCCAACACUCUCCAGCCUGAGUGUUUUUUAUUGCUUUGUUAGGGAUUGAAGUGCCAUGGUAUUUUGGAUACCACCUUGAGUGCUAUAUUGUGGAAAGGAAGGGUGUAAGUUUCCUUAACGAAUUAAUAAACCCUGUAGAUGUAGAAACUCAGAUAAAGACCUCUGCCUGAAGCCCUGAAGGAGGCAUUCAGAGUAGAACAGCCUUCCUCAUCUGGGUGCCCUCUAGAUGUUAUUGGGCCACAGCUCCCAUCAUGGCUAAUGAUCAGGGAUGACGGUGUGUGGUCAUGCAACAGCAUCAACAGGGAUCAGGGUUGGGAAAAGCUGAAAUAGAAUGCACCGGGCUAGACAGAGCAGUGGUCUGACCCAAUAUAAGACAGUUUCAUACUCUCAUCUCCCUUUUGUUGUUUUCCUUAAUUUAGUUUCUGAGAGAUACUCUGAACAGCAGGGAAAGCAGGUCACAAGUCUCAGCAAGCAGACAAGCACGAAAGCGAACAAAUCAACGAUUCCAGGGCACAUUUCAGGAUGCACCCAAUUCUAUUUCAAUUUGGCAAAACCUUCAAGCCCAUCAAGUUUCCCUCCUAUUUGGAAGAGAUACACUCUUGAAAUAGAAAAUCCUGCUUUUCAUCGGUUACUCCAAGGAGUAUUAUUUUUUUUCUGAUUGCAUAUUAAGGCAGUAGGUGGUGUGUGUUUUUUCCUGUUUCUUUUCCCUUUGCAUAUGUUUCCAGUUCCUAAUUCUCCUGCAAUCACGGCAAGGCACGUCUCUCUAUUGAUCUGCUUUCACAGUGACAUCACCUUUGCCAACCUCUUGGAAGUAACGGCUUCCCAGCUUAGCUGUUGACUUUGUCUUGUCAUCCUCUCUGUGCGAGAACCUUGUGCCCCUUCCCUGCUCCUCAUGCUCAAAGGGUCAGAAAGUUUCUGAGAGCUCUGGCUCUCCUUUCAAGCAAAGCUCUGCACUUCCCUUGCCCUUCAUUUCCAAAACAACCUCUUAAGUUUCACCCACAACUUUCCCCUCCUGUAUCAGAUGUAUUCAUGCAUAUUCUUUUCAGCUGAUCCUCUAUCAGAACAUUUGUUUGCCUUCGUUUUGAAUUAGUUUGUUACCCAAGGAUGUAACCCCUGAUAGCUCAGUCGGGAGAGCAUGAGACCAUACCCUCCAACAUUUCUCUGAUGAAAGUAGGGAUGUCCCAUUCCACCCAUAAUGAUAAUUUUACUAUUUAUACCCUAAACAGCUUACUGGGUUGCCCCAGCCACUCUGGGCAACUUCCAACAUACAGUGGUAUCUCAGGUUAAGAACUUAAUUCGUUCUGGAGGUCUGUUUUUAACCUGAAACUGUUCUUAACCUGAGGUACCACUUUAGCGAAUGGGGCCUCCUGCUGCUGCCGCCGCACAAUUUCUGUUCUCAUCCUGAAGCAAAGUUCUUAACCUGAGGUAAUAUUUCUGGGUUAGCAAAGUCUGUAACCUGAAGCGUCUUUAACCUAAAGUGUCUGUAACCUGAGGUACCACUGUAUAUGAAAACAUAAUAAAACAUUAAACAUUUUUUUUUAAAAAAACCUUCGCUAUACAGGGUUGCCUUCAGAUGGCUGGGGGGGGGCCGAUAACUCCAUACCCUCCAACAUUUCUCCAACAAAAAUAGGGACAUCCUAAGGAAAAAUGGGACAUUCCAGUUUUAAAUCAGAAACUGAUUUAAAUCAGGGAUGUCCCUGAAAAACAGGGACACUUGGAGGGUCUGUGGGACCCAUAAUCUCAGGGUCGUGGGCCUGAGCCCCUGGUUGGGCAAAAGCUUCCUGCAUUGCAGGGGCUUGGACUAGAUGCCUCUCUGUGUUCCUUUCUAACUCUAUAAUUCUAUGAUGUGUCAGUGCCACUGGGCCCUGUCUGGGAGCUGGGACCCAGUCAGCCAUCCCAGUGUGCCAAGGGCUGAUGUAAGGCCUGGCCAUUGGACUCCAGUUCAUGUUUGGUUAAGGGCAGUAGCUCAGUGGCAGAGCAUCUGGUUUGCAUGAGGAAGGUCCCGCUUUCAAUCCCUGGCUGCUAACAGUCAGUGUGAACAGUGAUGAACUAGAUCAACUAACAUACUGAUUCAGUAUAAAGCUGCUUCCUGUCUUCCUGUGUUCUGACAUAUCACCAGAUAUGGCUAGCACCAGGUUGCUAGCCUAGGAGCUGUCAAUUAGUAGUAAAGUAUCAAUAGCCCCCAUAGUCACCUGUAAAUUAAACUAUUUUACAAAUGCAAUUAAAAUAUUCUUUUUUACGUUUUUACUUUUCAUUAAGACCAGAUAAAACCAGUGGUUUUUUUCUGGAGGGACGCAGGGGUACGCAUACCCCUAAACAUUUUGUGAAUCUAAGUUUGGCCUCAUUGAGGGGCAGUAUUUCAAUAUGAGUAGGGAAAUGAGAGUACCCCUAAACAAUUUUUUUAAAGAAAAAAAAGCACUGGAUAAACCUACAAAUAUAAGGUUUUCCAAGCAAGAACAGUAAUUUCAAGUGUGUUUCUCUCUAUCCUUCCAGUUAAAAGGAGCACUCUUAUUAAAUGCCUUUAAUUCUAAUUUGGUUCUUCCUUGGCUGUGUUGGCUCAAUUAACAGUCACUUCUUAAUGAUGGAACUUUUACUUGAAGAAUUAGAAAACAUUUGUUACUGCUGUGGCCAUGCGACUGCCAAUUACAAGACCAAUCAGAGGCCCUCUUUCAUAUCCAGUGUCUGCUUAUUCUCCGGUUACCUUUCUUAAUCAACCUGAAAUCAAACUUGGCCAAGUUUUUUGUCUUCCGCUGUCCUGUUCUCUUAAGAAUAAUAGCUUUGCCUUAAGUGCAGUGUACUGCAAUUGCGAUAUCUAUUAUGAAUAUAAUCACUAAAUCCCACUGAUGUCUGCAAUCUUCCUUUGCAUCUACCACCAAUCGUAAGUGAACAUGACAGCCUAGCUCUUCACAGUGUUUUAAGGUUGGGAACAGCUCCUGGCAUGUCACGGUUGAUUGAAAUAUAUAAAAUGGGGGAUUAGGGAGCUUCACAGACUAUUAAAACAAUCAGCCUGGCAUUGAAAUGCUCGUGGUACUUUGCUUAUUUAAAACAUUUAUACCCUGCCUUUCCUCAAGAAGCCCAAGGUGGCCAACAAACAGAAGCUAAGACAAUAACUCAGUCUUUUAAAAAGCUGCUUGGGAGCAAGAAUUACAAUAAAGCAGCCAGCAAAGAAGAAGAAAACAGCAGAGAGAAAUAGAUAUUUAAAAAUACAAACCAUCAAAAGUACUUUAGCCAACACAAUUAAACCCACUUCUAAAAGGGAACAACCAUUUAGGGCCCAAAAGAAGGAUGACAAGGUGACAGAGACUGGGUGCAGCCACUGGAAAGACCCUCCCCUUAGUCCUCAUGAGGCACAUUUUGGGAUAACCUUGUAGCACACAGGAAGACCUCUGAGGAGGAUCUCAGUAGCAGGGAUAUGUGAAUUGGUCAGUUGCCAUUUUCUCAGUUGUCCACUCCCCCCCCCCCGCGCUCCCAAUCCUGAGUUCAGUUCCACAUUUGCACAGCAAUUCUUGUUGUUGUUUUAAAAAACCCUCUUUCAUGAAAAUUCAUCAGCCUCUUUGUGUGAAUUUCUCUUAAUAGCCACAUUUCUGCAUGCAAUUUUGCCCCAUAGAGACACUUUUGCAAAGAAAUGACCCGAAUAUUUUGAAUGCUAUUUUCGCUCAAAUGUGCAUUUACACAUCCACUUUAGACUAUAUAUUUUCAGACACAUUGCUUGACUGGAGAACUGCGUUGCAAGAUUCAGAGAAGUGUGAGUUUCCGAAGGAUGAUCCGCUUGUUGUUCUGGAAAGUGCAAAUGAGGUAGAUCCAUCUUUCAAUGCAAACUGAAGCGAAUUUCUUCCCCAUCCCUUCUCUGCAGGCAGGCCGCAUCGCACAGGCCACUCACAAGUGAUGACUUAAAGAUAUGAAAUGGAUAUGGAACCAAAAGGACUGGGGAUGUGAACUGGGCACACAGAAGCGGUGAAUCAGUGGCAGAUUCUUAUUCCUAAACUCUUGCCUUGCUCAGAGAUAAAAGCCUUGCAAAGAGCUAGGCUGAAACUGAAAACUGUUUAAAUCCAAUGCUGCAACUUUGCUGGUGCAGCAGAUUACGGUGUGUACCCCUGUUCCCCCCCGCCAUGCACUCUCAAAAUGAGCUCCAUUUUUUGGGACCCUCCAGAACAGAUUUGGGGGGUGCAUGGGGAAAGGCAGUUUUGCAUGUAUUGUGGUGUUUUAUGUAUUGUGACUAGCAGUUAUUUUUUUAUCACAGUUCAGUAAUUAUUUAUUGUAAUUGAUAAGAGUGAAUUUCUGUUUAAUUAUUAUUUGCUGAUGUUUUGAUUGUGUACUAUUAUAUUCCAAUAGAUUCUUGAGUAUUUAUUUGAUAUAAGUUGUUCCAUUUUAAAGUUAUGUUUUAUUAUGACUACUGUAUUUGUACUGGAUCAGAUUAUUACAAGGUUUGUGUUCUUUGUUUAUUACGUUGCUGUAAGUUGCCUUGUGUAUAAUAGUGUAGAAAGGCAGUAUACAAAUUAAAAGUGAAAUGAAAAUGAAAUGAAGGAGAAGAGGAAUGGAAGUCCUGUUGUACCAGGCACGCAGAGCAUUGGAAACAUGCCAUGGCUCUCAAAGUGGAAGAGAGGUCUCUCUAAGGGAGGCAUAGACAGUAACAAGAUGAAGCUGAAGUUUUCAUGUUAGAGGGAGAAUAUGGCACCACACCAUUCUGCUUAGGUCAGACUUCACCUGGAGCCCUGCGCCCAGUUCUGGGCAACCUACUUCAAGAGGGGUAUUAGCAAACUGGGGUAUGUUCAGAGGAGGACAACAAAGAUUAUGAGUGCCCGAAGACCUGGGCUGGAUCUGGACACAUCAAAGAAGCGUUUCAGUUAAAUGCAUUGCAAACUCUGUACAAGAAACCAGGUUAAGCAAAAAACGGAACUCUACAGUGCCAUCUGGUGUCACAGUGUUAGAAUGCAUAAACAAUGCAUAUAAAGUGCUUUUUCUUUGCCAAUGUAGCCAAGUCCCAUGCUCUAUGAGGAAAGGGUGAAGGCGUUGGGCAUGUUUAACUUGGAGAAAAGAUGGGCAUUUUCAAAUAGUUGAAGAGCUGUUUUCUGUUGCUCCUGAGACUAGGUCUUAAAACAAUGGGUUCAGAUCAUUUAAAUAGUGGGGUUUUUUGGCAAAUCAUUAGGAGAAAGCUUUCCAACAGUGCAAGCUGAAUGUGGGAAAGACUGCCUUAGACAAUUCUUCUGUAGAGGUUUUUAAGCAAAGGCUUGGUGAUGGCUCCUGUUUAGGGAUGCACUACUGUUUAGUGCAGCUCCUCCACUGACUUUAGAUUAGACUUAGAUGACCUUUGACACCACCCCUCCAACUCUAUGAUUCCUUAAAGGUACAGAACUGCACCUCGUAGGUGGAUUUGUAUCAUUAUUGUCGUUGUUAAUGUGAGAAGCUUCUCCUCGAGCUUACUGUCAUCACAGGACAAGGAGACGGCUCCCUCCCUGGUGUUUAAAGAGGGAAUUCAGCAAAGCUGCCAAGUCAUGGAUUUAGUAGACAAAUAAAGGACGAUAAAUAUAAAGUAGAGUUCAUGUUUCUGGAUGAUGGAAAUUUCAUUAGAGUCUAUUUCCACUAUCAAUUAUUAAAUAAAUUCACCUGAGUCUUUCCCCUCCUGUCCUAUUCAAGGCGAGUAUACACUAAUCUCUUUUAAUGCAUGAGGAGAUUGUGAACCAAGAGGCAUUAUGUUCCUUUCAGAUACUGAGGGUUUCCUGGAGUGUUCCACUAAAAUAUUAUAUGCUUGUUUGUGCUUUUGAGGUAUAAGCUGAUCUUAAGCCAGCACAAAGAAAAUGAGUGGGCUUUGGUUUAGCUACAGCAUGUGAUUUGGAAUGAAAUCCCCCAUCUUUCAUAAACUUUAAAUGACAGCCCAUCUACUGCAGGCAAUGCAAUGAAACGCCUUCCCUUUCAAUAAUGUUUAGUCCACACAGUCUCCCUGGCAGUGCACUAGGCAAAGCACCCAGGCUGUGAAUUAGAGCCAAGUCGACUCGCAGCAAAGCCGCUGACCUGAAUUCAGUCAUUUGGAGUAGCUCAGAUUUGGGGGAGUCUUUGCAGCCUAAUUUCUUAGGGCUUUUAUAACCAUUAAGCAAAGGAUACAGAGGCUAAAAUAUGCACUUGGGUUACUCAGUAGGAUUGUUUGUGCACACUGUCCCAGUUCAUACCGCAAUUCAUCACAAAACAAUUUAGGCAAAGUUCUAUCACCACCUCCAUAGUUAUAUAGCACUUAAAACGUAAGCAGCUUACAAGAUAACAAAUAUAAUACAUAUGUACUGUAAAACAGUACGCGGGGAUGCGGGUGGCACUGUGGGUUAAACCACAGAGCCUAGGACUUGCUGAUCAGGAGGUCGGUGGUUCGAAUCCCCACAACGGGGUGACCUCCUGUUGCUCAGUCCCAGCUCCUGCCAACCUAGCAAUUCGAAAGCACGUCAGAGUGCAAGAAGAUAAAUAGGUACCGCCCCGGUGGGAAGGUAAACGGCGUUUCCGUGCGCUGCUUUGGUUCGCCAGAAGCGGCUUACUCAUGCUGGCCACAUGACCCGGAAGCUGUACGCUGGCUCCCUCGGCCAGUAAAGCGAGAUGAGCUCUGCAACCCCAGAGUCGGCCACGACUGGACCUAAUGGUCAGGGGUCCCUUUACCUUUACCUUACUGUAAAACAAACAAUGAUACACAAACACACACACACACACACACACACACACACACACACCACACUAUGUAACAACACUACAUUGGUGCCAGUUCCUGGGGUUCAAGGCAGUCUUGGACCCCCAUUUUUUUUUUGAGGGGACUGGGCCCCUUCAAUGUUUAGAGGGUGUUCAGCUCCACUCCCUGGCUCUUGUCGGGCCCUCUCAAUCUACUUGAGAAAACUUUACAGUUUUCAGGAUAUGCUGAUGAUGCACCUAUUUAGCCUGGCGCCAGACAACUGAGACGUGUAUUUUCAGAGCCCAUCCUAUUCCUGGGACUGGAAUCUGUUUUAACUGUUUUUAUUCUGCUAUAAUCCAUUCUGGUAGCUGCUGGUGAAAGGUAAUGAAUUUAAUCAUCUUCUUCAACAGCUUCACCACCACCUAUAAGAUUUUCCCCCAACCCAAAACCAAAGCAGCACACCCAAAUUCUGCCUUGCAUCCUCACAAAUCACACAAUACCCACUACUUGCUCAACACCACCCAUUCUACUCCCUCAUCUCACACAUGUACAUCCGUGCACACUAAGGUCUCCAUAUAAACUGGAAAAUUACAGAAAUGUCAUGGGGGUGGGGGCUAAAUUGGCACCCGGGAAAAUUUUAAAUUUAAAAGUAAAUGUUUGGGAUUUUGUCUGUUUCCUUGUGGAAGUGGAAGCACAGUGGGGUGGCUUCCUUGUUUCCUCCUAGAUGGUGAUUUUGGAAGCCCACUCACUACCGCAUCGCCAACAACUUUGUGGACGAUUAGGCUAGGCUGAGAGAUUGUGAUUGGCCCAGGGUCACUUAGUGAGUUUCAUGCCAGGGUGUUUGAACUUGGGUCACCCCAGUCCUAGUCCAGCACUCUAUCCAUUAGAAUGCAUCAUACUGGCUCUCACCAAGUAUUAAAAUAUAGUGAGGAAUGCCAAGAUGGAAUAAUAUAUGUCACUGUUAAUAUGCAACACAUAUAAACACAUAUAAAUAUCCAAAGCAAGGAAUGGGAAACCUGCUGGACUACAACUCCCAUCAUUCCUGGCCAUUGGCCAUGCUGGGUGGAGCUUAUGGGACUUUGCACCCAACAUCUGGACGGGCACAGGUUCCUCACCCAUGAUCUAAAACUUAGUUAACAUUGAGAAAUGAAUAGACCAAUUAAUGAGUAUUAGAUAUGACAGUUAAUGGGGUGACCAUAUUCAUAGGUAAUCUGCCUCUAUAGACCAGGUGCUGGGGACAAACCAUAGGGGAAGGAUGUUGCCUUAGUGUCCUUCUUGUGAGCUUCUUAGAGGCAUCUGGCAGACCAUUACUGGAAACAAAGGGCCAGAGGUUGUUGCACUCGUGGAAGCCAAUGCAAUCAGGCCCACUAGCGCAAGAGCACUCACCCACUCUCUCCCCCAUGCACUCCUGUGUCUUCUCCAAAACAGCCUGGAAGGUUAAGCAGAACCACAGAACAUUGUGGGGGGAAAAGAGAGGAGAGAUGGUUCCAUCUGGCAAGCAGAAAUGCAGCACUGAAUUCCAUCCAUUGUAAUAUUGCCCGUUCCUUCAUCCAUCCAUCAGGAUGAACUAGCAACUGUCAGGGAACUGACAUCGGAGCGGGAGGCGAAGGGGAGGCUCCUAGAUGAUGCUGGAGAAGGACCCAGCAGCAGGGGGAGAAGCAGCUCAGUGGAGGGGGAAGCAUUUAAGCGCAACACCAGGAACAAAAGUGGGCAGAUGGGGAAAUCGGAGAGGGGCUCCCGGACUCUUCACUGGAACUCAGUGAGGAGGGGACAGGUCCUCCGCUACCUACGCCCUCCCUGCGCAGAAGGCUCCCGCGCAGUGAGAGGAGGAGGAGAUUGGGUGUCAAACAACUCUUAUGUUGGAAGAGAUUCAAGAAACGCCCACUGACGGAUUCUGCUAGUGACUGAGACAGUCAUGAUCAGAAAGGGCUGUGCAGUCAGAAAGGUUUAACAAGGCAAAUUAGCCUAGAGAGGCACCAGUUUACGCACGAGUAACUCAUACUCAUCACAGCAAUCCGUCAGUCCCUGAAAGUUGCUCGUGCGCAGCAGCAGGCAGGCAGCAUCAUGAGCAAGCCCGGAGAAGCCAGCACCCAGGGGAGCAGCUGGAGGGCAAACGCUGGUGGAGAGGAACCGAGAGUUGGAGCAGCAUGUGGCCAUUCUGACGGCGCGGCUGGACGAAAGGCGGUCUCAAGAUGCACAGGUCAGACCCACCCCCAUAGCAAGGAAGGUACCGGGACUGGUGCACAAAUUUGGGGGGAAGCCGCAAGAAUACAGUGCGUUUCGAACGGAAAUAGAGUACGCAUUGAAAUUGCAGCAUGACGAUUUUGAAGACGACGCGGUGCGGGUGGCAUGUAUCGUGGGUCACCUGCAGGACGGGGCCAGGGAAUGGGUCAGGCCCCUUAUGGCGACGCAGAAUGCCGCCAUGCAGGACCUGAGGAAAUUCUUCCAAGCAAUGGACGCAAUGUUUUCCACUGAUGUUCAAAAAAGUGUGACAAAGCGGGAAUUGAUGAACUGUAAACGGGAGCCAGUCAGUUAGGGACUACUGGUCGCGCUUUGCCAUGAUAGUUCACCGCCUCGGGUGGGAACUGGGCUCCGAACCCAUACAGAUGUUAUUCGAGGAGGGGUUGUCCCCAACGGUUAAGGAUGAACUUUCCCGCGCACCCCGCCCACAGGGGAUGGAUCAGCUGACCAAGGCUGUGCUUGCGAUUGGCGUGCGCCAGGAGCGCGGGCCCAGGAGAGGCGGGAAGGGAGAGAGCAACGUUGCCAUGACUACCGCAUUCCUGAAAUACCAAGGCAGCCUUCCCCGCCAGCAGAGCCAAUGGAAAUAGAUGGGGCACGCGCGUGGAAGUUUCAAGCACCAGCGAAGGGCGCAAAAAAGGAGGGAAAGGAUUGGAAAACCUCCAAGAAGUGUUACCUUUGCCAGCGGCCAGGCCAUUUUGCCAGAGCCUGCCCUCAAAGAAAGGCCUGGCAAGGAAUGGUGGGAGCCGCAGGGGGUGAGGAGGAGGUGGUAAAGGAACAGGAACAGGGAAACGGAUACGCUUGGCUGCCAAUCAAGGGGCACAACAGCCAGGCCAGCCACCAGUAAAAGUGCCCCAACCAGACCCCCCCAAGGCGGCAAUAGCCAUCGAAGUGGUGCUAGAACUCCCGAACGGGCACCCAGUCAAGGUGAAAGGGAUGCUGGAUUCAGGCAGCUCAUGUAAUUUCUUCAGCAAAGACUUUGCAUUAGAGCACCAGCUCCACUUACUGCCUUUGGAUUUUCCCUUGCAAGUGACCACCAUUGAUGGCAGGGAGCUUCUAGGAGGGGAAGUGACACACCAGACCCCACCAAUGAGAAUGAGGGUGUCCAGGCACUCGGAGACCAUCGCCUUUCACGUCGCCUCACUAGCAGGGCCCCCAAUAAUAUUAGGGAUGAGCUGGCUAGCACAACAUGAUCCAGUGGUGGCGUGGCAUCAGAGGACAGUCACCUUUGGGUCAGCUUACUGCCUGGAACACUGUCUAGGGGAAGCCCCAAGAAUGACCGUGGCCAGGGUGGCUGGGAUGGCGGUGGAGCGGAAAGGGGAGGUGCCGCCACAAUACGCAGAUCUGCGGGAGGUCUUCAGCGAGAAGGAGGCAGAUAGACUGCCACCCCAUAGGCCCUUUGACUGCCAGAUCAACUUGCUUCCUGGGCUCAGCUGCCAGUGGGUAAGCUGUACGCCAUGUCUGACAGGGAGAUGAAGGAGUUGCGAGAAUUUAUUGACAAGAACCUGAAAAGAGGCUUCAUAAGAGAAUCAAAGGCAGUAGGGGGCAGUCCGGUGUUCUUUGUGGACAAAAGAACACAAAUAAACCCAGGCUCGUAGUGGACUAUAGAGCUGUCAAUUUGGUGUCAGAACCCGUGACCUUCCCAAUGCCCAGGAUUGACGACAUUUUAACGCGAGUGAGGAAAGGCAAAAUUUUUACCAAGCUGGACCUCAGGGGCGCAUACAAUUUGAUCAGGAUGAGGGAGGGGGACGAAUGGAAGACCACAAUGUUCACACCCCUAGGUGCCUUUGAGUACUUAGUUAUGCCUUUUGGAUUACAGUCGGGCUCCGCCUGUUUUCAAGCUUUCAUGCACCACGUGUUGGGGUCUCUGCUGUACAAGAACUGCGUAGCCUUCUUGGACGACGUCUUAAUUUAUUCGGACAAUGAGGAGCAACAUGUUAGAGACGUCAGGGAAGUGUUACAACGACUGCAGAAGCACCAGUUGUGGGUCAAGCUGGAAAAAUGUCAGUUUCACGCCAGAGAAGUCGAGUUUCUGGGGUACAAGUUGUCUGACAAAGGCUUAGCGAUGGACCCAAGCAAGGUGCAGGCAGUGCUGGAGUGGAAGGCUCCCAAAACACGGAAGGACGUACAGAGGUUCCUAGGGUUCAGCAACUUCUACAGGAAGUUCAUCAAGAACUUCGCCCACUUGACAGCGCCCAUCACGGAUUGUCUCAGUAGCAAAAAGAAGUUUGUGUGGACAGAAGAGGCCCAGCAAUCCUUCGAAAAACUGAAGAAGGCGUUCGCAUCGGAAGAGCAACUCCUGCACGUAGAUCUGGAGAAACCCCUGAGGCUAGAGACCGACGCGUCCGACAGAGCCGUAGGGGCGGUCCUUUGCAGCCAGGGAGGGCAAGCAGGAAUCGAAACCGUGUGCCUUUUUCUCGAGAAAACUGAGCAAGUCGGAGCAAAACUAUACAGUGUAUGACCGCGAACUGCUGGCAAUCUACGUGGCCUUUCGUCGUUGGCGUCAUCUACUGAUAGGGGCGCAACAACAGAUCCAGGUUUGCACAGAUCACAAGAACUUGGAGUACUGGAGAACCGCACGAGUACUCAACCAGAGACAGAUUCGAUGGGCACAGGAGUUCUCCAAGUUUUUCUUUGAAAUCCGAUACGUGCCCGGAGAGGAAAACGUAAGAGCAGACGCUCUCUCGCGUAAACCGGAGUACCUGGAAGGAGAGGGGCCGCCGGAGAAACGACACGUGAUCCCCGAGGACCGAUGGGUGUGUGGGGGACUUUGGUGGGGAAACGAGAACUAGCCGGGCUGACCAGAAACGACGUGUUCGCGCAAACUAAAAUCCGGGAACUACGAGACGGAAGAGGGACCCAAGAAGGGUUUGAGGAGAAGGAAGGGGUACUGUACUAUAGGGGAGCGCUGUACGUACCGGGGGAGACCCUGAGGGGAAAGGUACUCAAACAACUCCACGACAACCCCACAGCAGGGCACUUUGGACAGCACAAAACCAUGAUGCUUGUGACCAGGCAGUUCUGGUGGCCCAGGGUGAGGGAGGAUGUACGGGAAUAUGUACGGGGGUGCGACCGCUGCCAAAGGGCAAAGGGGAGUGGGCUGCCCCCACAGGAUUACUGGAACCCUUACCCACGCCGGGAAACCCUGGGAGGUGGUAUCCAUUGAUUUUAUGACAGAUUUGCCCAAGUCCCGGGAAAGACAGCAGUCAUGGUAGUGGUCGACCUACUGACAAAAAUGUGCCAUUUUAUAGCUUGCUCACAUGCUGUAACGGCAGAGGAAACAGCCCGGUUGUUUGUGGAGCACAUAUUCCGGCUGCAUGGCGCCCCUUGAGGGUUAUCUCCGACCGCGGAAAACAAUUUACUUCCCGGUUCUGGAGGAAGCUCAUGAGCUUGCUGCAGGUGGAGGUGGGUUUCUCGACGGCGAGACACCCAGAGACCAACGGGCAAGCAGAAAGAGCGAACAGUAUACUCCAGCAAUACCUACGCUGCUAUGUCAGCGAGAGGCAGAACGAUUGGGUAGAAAAACUAGCGCUGGCUGAAUUCGCGUACAACAACGCGGAACACGUGUCCACGGGAAUGAGCCCAUUCAUGGCCAACCAUGGGUGUCAUCCCAGGGCCUUCCCGGGAGUGGGGAGGAAAGCUGGAGCGUACCCGCUGCAGAGCAGUUUGUGGAAGAAAUGGAGGCCCUACACCAGCAACUUAAGAUGAACUUGGAGCGGGCCAAGGAAACUUACAAGAGGCAGGCAGACAAGCACCGCAGGGAGGGGAGACCAUACGGGUGGGGGACCGGGUGUGGUUGUCCACCCAAGGGCUACCUUUCAAAGGGGGGUGCAAGAAGUUGCAGCCCAGACGGCUGGGACCUUUUGAGGUAACACAGCAAGUUAAUCCCGUGGCAUUUAAGCUCAAGUUGCCUGAUAGCAUGAAAAUACACCCGGUUUUCCACAGGUCCCUGCUCUCACCGCAUAGGGAAGGGCGGGAAUUCCAGGGGCAAGAGGAGAAGUCACCACACACCCGCAGGUAGAAGAAAGGAACACCACCACAGGGCCACGGAAAUACUGGACUCAAGGUGGCAAGGGCGCCGGGUGGAGUAUUUGGUAGCGUGGGAAGGGGAACCCAGGUCCGAAACACGUGGGUCCCCACGGAAGCCUUCGAGGACAGGUAUCUGGUGGAGGUAUUCCACCGCCGGUUCCCGGACAAACCCAAACCCCUGGAGAGAUUCUGGGAGGAGCAAUUUGGAACCACAGAUGAGGAAGAGGUUUUUGAGGGAUUUUCUGACUCCGAGGAGGAGGGAGGAGAGGUUUCGGAGGAAGAAGAAUCAGACUGGGAAGACCACCCCGUUGGCAGGUGGAAGAGCGGUUGGGAAGCGGGUUCGAAUCCACAGAAGAUGGUGACAGUUCCUUCCGGGGGUUCCCCGCCUCCUCGGCCGCCGACGGGGACGUCGGUGGGCCCACCGGUCGGUCCUGGGGUGGUGGGGAUUCGGGGGGGGGAGGUGGAUGUCAGGGAACUGACAUCGGAGCGGGAGGCGAAGGGGAGGCUCCUAGAUGAUGCUGGAGAAGGACCCAGCAGCAGGGGGAGAAGCAGCUCAGUGGAGGGGAAGCAUUUAAGCGCAACACCAGGAACAAAAGUGGGCAGAUGGGGAAAUCGGAGAGAGGGCUCCCGGACUCUUCACUGGAACUCAGUGAGGAGGGGACAGGUCCUCCGCUACCUACGCCCUCCCUGCGCAGAAGGCUCCCGCGCAGUGAGAGGAGGAGGAGAUUGGGUGUCAAACAACUCUUAUGUUGGAAGAGAUUCAAGAAACGCCCACUGACGGAUUCUGCCAGUGACUGAGACAGUCAUGAUUAGAAAGGGCUGUGCAGUCAGAAAGGUUUAACAAGGCAAAUUAGCCUAGAGAGGCACCAGUUUACGCACGAGUAACUCAUACUCAUCACAAGCAACAGAGUUUAAUUCAACAUUAAGUGAGCCAAAAAUUGAACACCCGAUUCCACCCAUAAUGCUAAACUAGAUGGUCUGUUGGCCUUGCCUGGCAGAUUCCUUCUUACUCUUUUAUGCUUUGAAUUUCCUCCAAAUGUAUCUUUCAUGAAAAUGAAUGGCUUUCCGAAAGUGAUAAUCGUUCUUUCAUGGCUUAUACCCUAAAUUUUUGACAUAGGUACUAAGCCUGCCAGAUAGUCUUGUCAAUUGGCCCCUACUCUCAAAUCCUCUAAGUCAGUACUGACAGCAUAAAGUACAUGUGAAAAACGAAUCCACCAGCCCCAGUACCUUAGGAACCAGAACUAGCUAUUUUUGGAAACGGCUGGAAAGAAAAGAAAAAAAAAGGGGGGGGGGAGACAUUCGGCAGCUAGCAUUCCAUUUUAAUUCCUUAAAAGCUGAUGAAAUCCUUUCUGCUCCCUUGCUGUUGGUGGCACUUUACACAUCGAAGCCCUGGGUCAGCUUGGAUUGCUGCACAGCAGCCAAAGAAAAAUCAAUUCAUUCCCAGAAGAGAGAAAUGCUAUUGCAGAAGGUCAUCAUGCCAUCGCAGUGUUCGCUGUUCUGCAUCAAAACCUUGAAGGGUGUGUGUGUGUGUGUGUGUGUGUGUAGAGGGGUUGAUCUAGGAAGGCUAGGCUGAUUAAGAGGACUCCCCCAACUUCCCAACUGUUUCAUACCAGUUUGCUCCAACUAAGAAAAGAUGAGGAAUCUAUUAGACUUUGAAAUCCAUAUUAGGGCAAAUUAGAAGCAAGUUGCACUUACCCUAAAAAAAAAAGAAAAAAAAGCUACAACUGAGGUAGCAGAAGUUGUCAGACUCUGUGUGCCACUUAAGCUAUUAUUCAAAGGCUUUAAAAACCCUCCAUCCUCCUAGCCCAGCCUCCCCUAACCUGAUGGGCCACAAUUCCCAUUAGCCUCAGUCAGGGCAGGCUUCCCUGUGCUGCAAUAAAAAAAAUCUAUUAUUCCAAGGCUUCUUUAGUUUGCUCUGUAAAAUUAAAUGAAAAGGGUAGUAUGUGUUUCUAUAUGUACAAGUAACUUCACAGCUUCUGACUUGUUUAAAAACCACCUUCCAUUCUUUAUCUUUGGAGGGAGAAAGCGUUUUGACAGUGAAGUUUGUCAGUGAGGUGAUUGCAAUGUUGUUUUGCUAUUACUUCAUGAACCAAAUCUUAAUUUUCUCCUUAAUUUUCCUCUUUCCUCAUCCCAAGUGUAAGCUGCAACCUGAACUGCACUUUGAAAAACAGUUCUGUUUGGUAAGAAAUCGUUUCUUUGUUUUCGUCUUGGGAAAACAAAAUAAGGCCGUGUUCCAGCUGUUCCACAUGGUGUCCUACAUUUAUUUGCACAGUAUUAAAAAAAUAUACACAAUCUCAAGGACGGCAGGGUGACCAGUUGACAGAGCAUGCAAAGAAGUAACCAAAGAAACAAAUCAAAGUAACACAUCACACAUGUCUUAUGCAGAAGCCCACAAACAGAACAACUCAUUGUAGCCCAUCAUCAGUACAGCGAACCAUGUCAACAGACAGCUGGAAUGGGUUCCAGAGAGAAGGCACUGCAGCAAGUCAGGAAAUGAGGGCACAGGCUGCCAAGUAGUACAAACUCAGUGUCAAACUCCACCUGACACUCAGGGUGUGUCCACACAGCAUUUCCACAAAGAAUCAUUUUGUUAAGGGUGCUGAGAAUCAUAGUUCUGUGAAGGGGAAAGUAGAGUUCCCCAGAUUCUUUGAGGGAAGCAAUGUGCCCCCUUACCCAAUAAUGCCAAUGGUGGCAGUCCGCUCAUAUCUUACUUUUUCCAACCUACCUGUGCAGAAUGCCAAUAACACCAAAUGGAACAAAUCAAUACAAUGGCUCUCUGCAGUGAGGACUUGCCAAAAAGAGAGAGUCCCAGGUGCCAGUGAGGGGCUCUCCCCAAAAUUCUUGCUCAGCCCCUAGAACAGGCAACUAGUGAAGGCCCACACUAUAGGGGGAGGGGACUGCAGUUAGGAAGGAAGGAAGAUUACCCUGUGCAGUAUAUUGUCUGAGGCUAUUAGACAAGAAAGGAGGAGGAGUGGCGUUAUAUGUCAGGGAUGUGUAUACCUGUGAAGAGAUCCAAGAUUUAGAACCUCAAAGCCAAAGUGAGAGCAUUUGGGUCAAAAUUAAGGGAGAGAAGAAUAAGAGUGACCUCAUUGUGGGAGUUUACUAUAGAUCCCCAAGCCAAAUGGAGGACAUAGAUGAUGCCUUCCUGGAACAGAUGGCCAAGCAUGCAAAAGGAAGGGAGAUAGUAGUAAUGGGGGACUUCAAUUACCCGGAUAUUUGUUGGAUGUCAAACUCAGCCAAGAGCAUAAGGUCAAACAGAUUCCUCACUGGCCUUGCAGACAACUUCAUUGUCCAGAAAGUGGGAGAAGCAACAAGAGGAACAGCCAUUUUAGAUCUGGUCCUAACCAAUGUUGAUGACCUGGUUAGUGGGGUAGAAGUGGAAGGAUCAUUAGGCGCGAGUGAUCAUGCUCUUCUGAAGUUUACUAUACAGCGGAAAGGAGCAGCCAAGCAUACUGGGACACAAUUUCUUGACUUUAAGAAAGCCGACUUCAUAAAACUUAGGGAAGUGCUGGGUGAGAUCCCAUGGACAGUAAUACUAAAAGGAAAGGGAGUUCAUGAUGGCUGGGAGUUUGUUAAGAGGGUGAUAGUAAAAGCACAACUUCAGGCAAUACCAAUGAGACGGAAACAUGGAAGGUGCCUAAAGAAGCCAGGGUGGCUAUCUAAAGAACUUUUAACUGAGUUAAGAUUAAAAAGGAUGUGUACAAAAAUGGAAAAGGGGGGAAACCACCAAAGAGGAAUUCAAAGAAAUAGCCAGCACGUGUAGACACAAAGUCAGAAAAGCUAAAGCACAGAAUGAACUCAGGCUUGCUAGAGAGGUUAAAAGCAACAAAAAAGGCUUUUAUGGGUAUGUUCAGUAGCAAAAGGAAGAACAAAGAAACAGUGGGGUCACUCAGAGGAGAAGAUGGUGAAAUGCAAACAGGGGACACAGAAAGGGCUGAACUCCUCAAUGCCUUCUUUGCCUCAGUCUUCUCCGAUAAAGAAAACAAUGCCCGACCUGAAGAAUUUGGAGCAAAUGAUUCAGCAGAGGAAACACAGCCCAGAAUAACUAAGGAGAUAGUACAAGAAUACUUGGUUGGAAAUACCAGGGAAGAUUCUGGAGCAGAUCAUUAAGCAAACAGUCUGUGAGCACCUAGAAAGGAAUGCUGUGAUCACCAAUAGUCAGCAUGGAUUUCUGAAAAAUAAGUCACGUCAGACUAACCUGAUCUCGUUUUUUGACAGAAUUACAAGCCUGGUAGAUGAAGGGAACGCAGUGGAUGUAGCCUACCUUGAUUUCAGCAAGGCAUUUGACAAGGUGCCCCAUGAUAUUCUUGUAAAGAAGCUGGUAAAAUGCGGUCUUGACUAUGCUACCACUCAGUGGAUUUGUUACUGGCUGACUGACCGAACCCAAAGGGUGCUCAUCAAUGGUUCCUCUUCAUCCUGGAGAAGAGUGACUAGUGGGGUGCCACAGGGUUCUGUCUUGGGCCCGGUCUUAUUCAACAUCUUCAUCAACGACUUGGAUGAUGGUCUCAAGGGCAUCCUGAUCAAAUUUGCAGAUGACACCAAACUGGGAGGGGUGGCUAACACCCCAGAGGACAGGCUCACACUUCAAAACGACCUUGACAGAUUAGAGAACUGGGCCAAAACAAACAAGAUGAAUUUUAACAGGGAGAAAUGUAAAGUAUUGCACUUGGGCAAAAAAAUGAGAGGCACAAAUACAAGAUGGGUGACACCUGGCUUGAGAGCAGUACAUGUGAAAAGGAUCUAGGAGUCUUGGUUGACCACAAACUUGACAUGAGCCAACAGUGUGACGCGGCAACUAAAAAAGCCAAUGUAAUUCUGGGCUGCAUCAAUAGGAGUAUAGCAUCUAGAUCAAGGGAAGUAAUAGUGCCACUGUAUUCUGCUCUGGUCAGACCUCACCUGGAGUACUGUGUCCAGUUCUGGGCACCACAGUUCAAGAAGGACAUUGACAAACUGGAACAUGUCCAGAGGAGGGCAACCAAAAUGGUCAAAGGCCUGGAAACGAUGCCUUAUGAGGAACGGCUAAGGGAGCUGGGCAUGUUUAGCCUGGAGAAGAGGAGGUUAAGGGGUGAUAUGAUAGCCAUGUUCAAAUAUAUAAAAGGAUGUCACAUAGAGGAGGGAAAGGUUGUUUUCUGCUGCUCCAGAGAAGCGGACACGGAGCAAUGGAUCCAAACUACAAGAAAGAAGAUUCCACCUAAACAUUAGGAAGAACUUCCUGACAGUAAGAGCUGUUCGACAGUGGAAUUUGCUGCCAAGGGGUGUGGUGGAGUCUCCUUCUUUGGAGGUCUUUAAGCAGAGGCUUGACAACCAUAUGUCAGGAGUGCUCUGAUGGUGUUUCCUGCUUGGCAGGGGGUUGGACUCGAUGACCCUUGUGGUCUCUUCCAACUCUAUGAUUCUAUGAUUCUAUUGGAGGGAAGCUGCCCAGAGUGGCUGGGGCAACCCAGUCAGAUGGGCAAGAUACAAAUAUUGAAAUUAUUAUUAUUAUUUCUAUACUCACCCCAGGGUGAGAGCCUGCAAUGGUGUAGAACUGAGCUCUUUCCAGAUGAGUGGUGGGAGGGGAGCUGGCUGAUCACAUUGUGAAACUGCAUACAUUUUCAUUUAGAGAAGGCUCUCCAUAAGAGCAUUAAGUCCAGAGUCUAAAAUGACAUAUCUGCCCCACCUACGACGCCCAGGAAUUUGAAAUCAAAGAGCGAAAAUGUCAUGUUUAAUCUUCAUGCAAGUCAAUUUUCCCUUCCUCGUUGCAUUCUGUGUUUUGUAUUCUAUACAAAACAGUAGCUUUUUAUACUUUUACAAACAUAUUCUGAUCAGUAUAAAGGACACUCUUUAAUACAUUAUUUAAGAAUUCCCAGGCUGGUCCAGGUUUAUUUACUAUUUGCCAGCCAGGCAAACUUGAAAGUUUGUUUGUGGGGUUUUUGGCUGACUUUGUACCUUCUUCAAGGCUUGUUGCUUUAUUGUUCUGUGUCACUUUCUGUAUCCUCAUCUCCUCUGUAUACUCAGCUGCUGGCAUAUUUUUAAAAGGGGGAUGUAUAGGCUAAGAUGUGAGAUACAUCCAUUAUGCACUCCUCGUAAAUCUCAGCUUGCUUGUUGUAUUGAUCAGACAUAAUGUUCAGUAAAUGAGAGCUUCCCCCCCCCCCCACCGAAGCAGGAGCAGAACAAUGCAGUCCUUGGCCUGGAGAACAAAAGGAUGUGAAUGUGAUUGAGCGGCAGCUUCUCAGCGCAGGGGAAACCAAUGUUAUACAGGGUUCUGCUCAUAUCAUAUGACCAUUGCAUAAGAUUACAUCACACUGGUGCAUGUUAAUAAUAUAUAGAGGUCAUUGUGGAAAACUUCUUGGUUUUCCUGAGUUAUGGAUUUAGUUCAGAGCAGUUUAUUUCUCUAACUUAUUAAUUUGCACCUUUAACAAAGAAAAAAUGAGAAGAGAAAUCCUGGAGAGCUGAUGGCAGUCAGUGCAGGCAAUAUCAUGCUAGAUUGAUAUUGGUCUGACUCUGGCUUUGCAUGCAGAGGAACAAUCAGGAAACACUUGAAGGCUCCUGGUUUUUCCUUUACAGCUGUGGUUUUACCACCCCACACCUGAUGUCUUGUAAUAUCAUGUGUCUCGCAGGUGGACACAGCUAGGAAAAAACAGACUUGUAGGCUGCAAUAGGUCACCCUCCAGGCCUAAUUUGGCCAAUGGGGUGGGGGGUUCCACAUGCCUGGGUUAGGCAAUCAUACCACCCUUGCUGCUAAUACCCAGGCUUCCUGUCUACCUGGGUUUGGUGGCGAAACCCUAGGCAGAAAACUGAAUAAACCCAGCUUCUGAUGAGAUGGAUGACAUGGGAUGAGGAACAUAUAGGGAACCCAGAACUCAGCCAAGAAUGUCACAUAGUUCAUCAAAAGCACGGCAUUUCGUUUUCCCUCAUUAUCCUCAGAAUAGGAAGGAAAGAAAUAGUGCAAUUAGAAUUCAAAACCAACGACAGUAAAGGGUUUGGAUAUAUAUAGUCUACAGGAAAGAAGUCUGGGGGGAGAUUUAAUAACAGGCUGCUUAAAAGGCAGCCACGGAGAAAAGAGAGAAAGCAAGAAGAGAGAAAUAGAGAGGUGAACUUUUCUCUGCUGGCAAAGGGAGGCUGAGAGAGGGCAAAAGGUUGAAGUUAGUGGAAAGUACUUUUCUGCAUCAGAAAUAGGUGAGUCCAUGGAUUCCAAUGGAGUGCAUUCCGGAUUGCAGAUUGGGGUGAGCUGGGGAGGGGGGGCGGCGGCAGGGAACUCUGGCCAGAGAAGUAGUUCCCCUUUUCUCUGUAAGAAGUAACACCCUGGGACUGUAGAGAUUAAGAGAAGUACACACCCAGCCAGGUGACCUAGGGUGACUGGGAAGUUGCAUCCCUUGGCUCCCAGGAAUAAUACAAUGGCAAAAGAGAGACCAGCCUGAUCCAAGCCAGUCAAAGAGCAACUGCUCCACUGCUUGCCAUCCUCCCCCCUCCCCCUUGUAUUUUCUCUAUUAGAUUGUUCGUCUGUGGGCAGGGACUAUAGUAUCUUUUAACACAGGAGUGGUGACCUUGGAGAGCCAUUUGGCCCGGGAGGCUCCUUUGGCCAAGACACACACCCCUGCCCUACACCUAAGCACUGAAUAUGUUUGUUAUGAAGCAGGUAAAAAUGGGGCUGGGCCAAAAGGGGAUUUGGGAUAGAGGGGUCUGCCUAUCAGCUGAUCAUCAGUGUGUACAAAGCUUUUGUUCAUGUGUUUUUAUUUCAAACCACAGGGGUGAAAGCAGGUCACCUGAUGUUAUUGUGACAUCGGGUGAUUGUCAGGUGGGUGGCCCUAACCAAACUUGGCCCAUGGGGAGUGGAGGAGAGAAGCAUCUGGAUCUAGAUCUCUCUCUCUCUCUCUCUCUCUCUCUCUCUCUCUCUCUCUCUUACUGUGUGUGUGUGUGUGUGUGUGUGUGUGUGGCUGUGGCUGUGGCUGUAACUUCAUCCUCCACAGGGUAACUCAUAUAUGUAUCUCCAGUGCUUCCUUUGCCCCAUUCCCAUCUCCUUGCAUGGUCUAUUGGUCAUAAAUGUUUUCAGCCCUCUGCUGUGUGUGGUCAUUCAGUAGAAUGCAGUACUGCUCAUCUUGCUCUUUCACAAGGGCAACAGGGCAACAACAGUUGGCUGCAAAGAGACACCUGCACAGUUGACACCACCAGCUAAAUCAUGGUGACACAGCCUGACUAGCAUCACCUCACUGGUUUAGGCUCAAGUCACUUUUACAUGUGCAGAUAUAGAGGUCAAAUUUCUUGUCAGAUUUAGCCUCCUCUUUCCUCAUGCUGUGGUUCCAUUUCAGCGACUGGGCGGAAAUAAUAAAUAGAGCUUUCAAAUUUGCACACCACUUUCUGCCCUAGGGAAAAAUGAAGCAAUUGUAUUUUAACCACUAUUUCGUAAAGUCUCUCCCCCCCCCCCACUUUUCUUCUUAAAUGCAUUUAGAAGUCAAACAUGAUAACCAUCAUCCUGUCACCACUGGGAAUCAUCUCAACAUGGCCAGUAAUCAAAUGAGCUGCACAUAUGGUUCAAGGACAUGAUACGGUUUUGUAAAAAUAUGGAGACGGUGAGACAUUUAUAAUUCCCACAGAUGCAUGGGACAUUUCCCAGAAAUGUUUGUGUACUGGAGCGUGAGACUCUGCUACCAUUAUUAUUUUAAUUAGCCAACUCGGCUGGCUGGCUUUCAGCACCAAGAACAGCUCCUUUUCUUCUUUAUUAUAGUGGGAAAUGAGCUCACUCUUGUCCAACAUUCAACAACAAGGCUACAGGAGAAAUCCUCCUUAAAUACUUUUUAAGGUAUAACGAUAACACAGAAAUGACCUUGGUGAGAUAGCCUAGCAAUGCCCAGCAUAGUAAGUGGCCUUUGCUGCUCUCACUGUUUCUUUGCAUAAUUGAUGGCAAGGAGGGGGAACAAAGUCUGCAGUGAAGCACUCUUGCCUUUUCAGUAAAAAGUAUUCAACCAGCCUGGGACAUAAAAGUUACAUUACAACCAACGUAAAGCUAAAUGAAAAAGACUUAAGAAAAUAACCAAUCAUUUUGAAGCACACAAUCCACUGAUGAACACUUAAGUUUGAAUACCUUCUCUGUAACGACAUAUGUUACCAUACUCCCUAUAGCUGCUUAAUUUUAGUUGAUGUCUCACCCUGUAUCAGGAUUGGGUUCUAUGGCCCUCCAUACAUCGUUGGACUACACCUUCUUUCACUCUUGACUACUGGCCUUGCUGGCUGAGGCUGAUGGGAGCUGAACAAUAUCUGGAGGAAUUACAGGCUAACUACCCUUGCCCCAUAUUGUUUAACUGGAAUGCUGACUGCAUUCAUAUAAAUGCACACCUUUACUCCAAAGAUUUCAGCCAAAGUGUAUAUGGUUCUCCCCUUUUCCAUGCUGUGAUGUAGGUUAGGCUGAGAGUUGGGACUGGUUUAUGGUGAGCUUCAUGGCUCACUGAGGAUUUGAACCCUGGUCUCCUAGAUCCUGGUCCAACCACUGACAUGCAGGCACUAACCCCCAGCCCAUCAAGGCUAGGAGAAUGUUUUGUUUCAAAUUGAUUGUACUAGGGUGUGUGACUGUUGUGUUGUGAACAGCCUUGGAUCCUGUUUUCAGGGCAAAGGCAUACAGAAACCAUUUCAGUAAAUGAAUAUGUAUACAGCACACCAUGCCAUUUUUCUAGGAAACCAUGGGGGAAUCCAAUGUAUUGCUAAGUUACUGUCCCACUAGCACAAGGAUUUCUGCUUCCACAAUGGGACUUAAUUCCUUUCUUCCUCCCCCCAGAUGCCCCACACUCUCCCCAAAUCAGUUCUGGGGGUGGGGGAAAGAUUUGGGGAGGCAGGGGGAGGGGAGAAUCCUAUUGCACAAGUGGAACUCGACAGGAUGGUUGCUUAGCAUUACACUGGAUUACCCACUAGACCAAAAUGUUGUCUAUAACAAACAACAAUAUAAUUAUUAUAUUAUUACUAUUAGGCAAUUCAUUGCUGCAACUAAUUGCUAUUAUUAUGUAAAUAGCAGCAUAAUCUUAGCUGUAGAAAUGCUCCUAGUACAUUCCUCAUUUAUUAAAUCAGGAAUGGCAAACCUCCAGAUGUUGCUGGGCUACAGCUCCCAUCAUUCCUGACCAUUGGCUAUGCUGCCUGAGGCUAAUGGGAGUUGGAAUCCAAUGACAUCUUCAGGACCACAGGUUUCCCCAUCCCUGUAUUAAAUGAUAUAUGAAAAUUAGAAUCUGACUUCUCUCUUGUAAACUCUAUAUGCAAAUGCCUUUGAUUUUAAUUCAUACCGUAAACACCUGAUUUUAUGAAGACAGUGAAUUGAUCAAUCAGUAUUACUCUGAAUCAUUCUUGGCAGGUCUGAAAAAUAAAUGCAGGUAAUCUGUUUGUGAUGAACAACAGAUAUCGACCAGUUCUCAUCAUUCAACAGCAUGUCUAAGUCUUUCGUGCAAGGCACGUACAGAUUAUAUGGAAUGUUUAUAAAUGCACAACUGCUUUGCAAAGGGUUUCCUAAUAAUUCUGAACAAGCUGGUUGUUCUCUGCAGAGUUAGUCCUAUAGCCAUCCAUAUUAAAAUACAAGGGGGAUAAAAAUAGCCUCCUAUUUGCUUGAACAAUUAUUUCAGAAAGAAUUUCAGUGUAAAGAACUGGUGCCAACGGGAAGUUUUUGCAUGUCAAAAAUGCUCAGACACAUUUCCACCAAAGCAAGAAGGCACAAUGUUCCUUGAAUGAAAAUAAACAUACUGGAUUUUCUUUUUGGUUUUUUGUGCUGAGCUAAAUGGCCGCUUGUAGACAAAACAUUAAAAAGAGAACGCUAUCAAGUGGCAUUUCCUUUGGGGAUUCACUCUCAAGUGAAUGCAAAUACUGCUAACUUUUCAUGAAUGUGUACUAAAAGGUAAACGUCAGGGCUGAUACCCCAGCUAGCUACUGCCUCAUUCCCAGCCUUCCCUUUGGGGAGUAGGAUGGCAAACAGGUGUUUCGCUGCAGCUUCAGAUGUACCUGGAAACCAUUUGUCUCCUGGACUCUUGCCAGCCAGGUUUUCAGUUAUGGGCAUAGAAUGGCAACUGUGCUCACAGUCUUAGUUGAUUAUCUUCAUCAAGGGGAAUGAGGGUCCUACAGAGGGAAUUGAACACAAUUGAUUUAAUUGAAUCUUUCAGAUGCCUAUGAUACUAUUGAUUAAGAAGUGCUGGCACUGCAAAUACAGAAACCUCUUGAAGAUGGGGACAACAUUUGCCCGCCUCCAGUUGUACAAGCUGUACAACAGUUGUACAGUUGUGAUCCAUAUAGCAUACUUCAGGGCUGGGGAACCUCUGGACAAUGGGCCAAUCUUAGCCCAUCAGGGGAUUCAAGUUGUCUCACAAGACCAUUUUUCUCAAACCACACCCACCAUGAUGUCACCUGAUGGGUGGGAAGACAGGGUUAAAUCCUUCAAUGGGCAUUAUUCCAGGAUAUAUGGAUACAGCAUUAUUGUUCAGAAAAGCAAGGGACUGUUUGCAUUGACCUAUGAACCAAGUGCAUUAUUCAACACAGACGGGUGCCUCACUGAUUUUAACAAGACACCCCCUUUGUGCCCCCAAACCAAAUUUUGUACCACCAUGUCCUCUUUUUCUCCUACUCAUAACUGGGAUUAGCCCAAACAAGUUUUCUUUUUGCAAACAUGACAGCCUCAGCAAUUCCUUUGAAAUCCCUGGUUGAAAGAUUCUGUUUAAGUGUAUCCUGUCAUUGUUGACAUCAGACUUUUGUCACGUCAUAAUAAUUCUUCAAACUGUGUUCUUAUAAAGCCAGUGAAGUGACUUUCUUACAGGCUGAUUAAUUAAUCAAUCCAUCCACAACGUGGACCUAUUUUUUUAAAGCCAUUGUGAAGUGAAGGAGGCCAAAUCCCUGAAGCCAAAAAUGGUUACAACAAGCAUGAGUGUGUUUCCCUCCACCUCUGUUUAAAAAGAAGAAAUUUCAGAUUAUCGAUCAGGUCUCAGUUAGAGGAACAAAGGCAGCAGAAGAAUGUGGAUUUAAGCAAGAAUAAAAAGACUCCUCAUGCUGUAUCACAGCAUGAUCACAGCCACAAGAAAAACAGACAGACAAAGCUAGGAGGAUCAGGAAAUGGCUAGAAAAUGGUAUCGUGGUCUCAAAGCGAUGGUGAGCCAACAAAAGGGGCAGGCAUAAAACCAAGCUGUAGAUAGCCAGAUGUUGUUGGACUCCAACUCCCAUCAUCCCCUGCCUGUAUGGGCAAUAGUCAGGGAUGAUGGGAGUUGGAGUCAGGUGCCAAGUUGUAAGCCCUGAUCUACAGCUUGCUUCUGUGCCUAGUUCUGGUGCUUGGCCCACAAUCAGUGGGGUAGUGUAGGCAGCCAUGCCAGAGGUUGAGAGACCACAUGGCCAGCGUCCGUGCCACAGUGACCAGUGCUGUUAUCAUUUGCUGCAGGAGCUAAAACACUUCCCAGCCAUGCACCAAAGACUUGAGGCUACUGUCUAGAAAUUGUUAUGGUUCACCACUAUGUUGUUGGUGAUUUCAUAGCUGCAGCCUUGCCCAAUUGAUCCCAGAAAUGUCUGGUUCUAGGUCAUGGUUACCUGAGGCAGCAACACCUUGCUGAAGCUAAGCAGGAUCAGGCCUGGUCAGUGCCUGGGUGGUAAACUGCCUGGGAAGCCCAUGUACAUUGCCUUGAGUUACAUGAAGGAAAAGAGGCAAGGAUGUACAUGUAGUAAAAAAAUUAAUAUGUCUGGGUUUCAGCUGAGGAGCCAUCAGAACGGAACAGCACCUCUUGUUGCGGUACAGAAGAGUGAUUGAUCAUGGUUACGCAAUCUCAUAAAGCCUAAGGCAGAGAAGGACAACUGAAAUCUUGAGAGAUAGGACAACUGCUACAGGAGGAACAAUUAAAAAGAUGAGGAUUCUCCACUUAAAACUACAUUGGCUGGGAUUGAAAGAGGCUUUGGGGUACCCAAGACAUCUGUUUGCUAAGCCAUAUUCUUUAUAGCUGCAGCCCCAUGUGCAUAUCGUAAGUAGAACUUGAAAUGGAAAGGGAUGCAAAAUUAGGAAGGAUGGGAAACUCUCCUUCCCUUAAUUACUACUCCCACUGAAGCCUUCCCCUUCCCCCUCACUUUUACAGCUGGAAAUGUCAAAGUACUUUGCAGCAAUGAAUUAAUCUCCACUCUCUACCUCAGAGGAAAAUAAAAGCAUGUUCCCUUUUAAACAUUUAGGUAAAGUUAAGGGCACAUUUAUUGCGUUUUGCAUGUUUAUGGUGUUGUGCAGAUGAGCUCGGCGUGAUAAAUCAAAUAUGGUGUUAAAUCCGAACAGGAAAUACUUGGCUAGUUUCACUGCAUUGCUUAUAAUAUUAACACUUACAGCAAUCUUUUAAUUGAAAAACACUCCCCACUCUCACUGGCUUACAUAGAAGAUAAGUUUAAAAAACCCACCAACAUGAUCUACACUCCCUUGAUCUGUAAAAUGGGUAUGUUGCAUGAAGAAGCACUGGGUCACCAAAAAGGAUGGAUAGAAAGGGAAGGAGUUGUUCUGCACAGUUGGGAAGAUCUUGGAGGUAUGCAAUAAAAUGUUGUUUCCUUGUCUUUCCUAAAUGGGGGAAAAAACACACACAUAUGCUGUGCACGUGUAGUUCAGUGAUGCUUAAGGAAGUGCAAUGGCAGCUGAAGGUAGGAAAAGAAACAUGAGCCAAGUGAGCUUUCCAUUCACCCAAUCCCAUAAUUGUGAAACCUCUGCCUAUCUAUCUAUACUAAAAGCCACAAAAUUAUAAAAGCAGCAUAAAACAGAAGGAUUAAAACAAAAAAAGGUCUAAGAGGCUAAGGGAAACUGAUUGACUUUGCCUGGUAACAAAGGAACCAUAAAGUGGGAUGCAGGUGUCAGAGGAUACAACUCCCCACGGUAGGUUGCCAGGAAGGGAUAAGACAAGGAAGUUCUUACUAUCGUGCCGUAGUUCCUACUACACCACCAUGGCAGUGAGAGUAUUGUUAGCACAAAAAUGGAAAGGAGACCAAAUUCCAACAAAGAGGGAUUGGCAAGUGAAGUUGAUGGAAUACGCAGAGAUGGACAAGCUGACAGGGCAGUUAAGAGAUCAAGAGUACCAAAAAUUCAACAAUAAUUGGAGUAAAUUAGAAAAAUAUCUGGAAGAUUACUGCAGUGAUUUAAUUUUUUUGACUGGGCUAGAAUGACUCUUGUAAAGACAACUAGUAGGAACAGUGGAAGAGACGGUAAAUAGAAUAUUACAAACAAUUGGAAAGGCAUAUAACAAAGAAUUUCAUGGACCCAAGUAAGAGGUGGAAGGAAGUCCGGUGCAAACAAAGUAGCAACAAAAUAAGUAGAUAAGUAACAUAAUAUUUACUUUCUCUUUAGUUUAUGCAUACAUGUUAAACAUUGGAGUGUUCAGUGUGUUGAAUUGUUUAUUGUGAAUAUUGACAUGUAUGAAAAGGAUGGUUGUAAAAUAAGUGAAAAACCAAUAGAGAUGUCUAUUUUUUAAAAAAGGAAGUUCUUACUAAUUCUUUGUAUUCAAUAAUCAUAGAGAGAGGCUUAGAAAUGCAGCCUCUUGGAGUAAUGGUGUUGCUCCAAGUAGAUCUCCACCCCACCUCUUUCCUCAAUUGUAAACAGCACCACCCACCUUACAGUUGCCUCUAAGUGCCCUCUGUCUCCAGGCCCUUUGCUCUCCUACUUUCAAUGCUUGCUGGGUUCUGGGAGAUCGGGUUCUGGAAUGCCUUCUAGUGAUAUUGUGUCAGCCAGCUGCUCCAGCUCUGCCUCCUCCUCCUCUCUCAUUAUUUCCCAACAUUCCCCCUCAUCUACCUCUGAGCUGUGAGCUCCUGUAAACCACUGAUGUAAAUCUAUACUGUCUUCCUCUUCUCUGGAAGGGUCAGGCUGGGGAGGUGGUCUCCACCAUUCCUCCUCUGCCCAUUCCCUGGGAUGUGUUGGAUGUGUGGCCACCUCUGAAAGAGAAGAAGCUUCACCAUUGUUAACAAGAGAGGUGGUGAUGGCAUUAUUCAAAGCCUUGUAGCUGACCAUCAUCAAACUAAUUUUCAAUUUACUUGUGGAAGCAACUUCAAUGCAUGCAAUCUCAUGGCAUGCUUUCAUUGGGCAAAGGCCAUAGCUCAUCAAGUACAGAGACCUAAGUUCAAUUCUCGACACAACCAGUUAUAACAGCAGGUGGCUAUCCUGUGUCCUUCCAGAUGUUGUUGCUAGACUCCAGUUCCCAUCACUCCCAGCCAGUGGUCAAAGAUGAUGGGAACUUUAGUCCAACAACCUAUUGAGAAUCAAAAGUAAGCUCACCAUGCAGUUAGAGGAUCUCAGUAGUACACCUGAGAAAGACCUCUGCUUGAAACUUUGGCAAACUAGUUAGGGCAGAUAAUAGUGGGCAAGAUGGACUGAAGACAGCUUCCUGCAUUAAUUCUGGUCAGUCCUGCUAGUUGUGCUUUUCAUCGACUGUAACUGGUGAAAUGAAGGUGUCAGAGUUGUGAUAGCUUGAGCACAUUUACUUGGAAUAUUUCAAAAAGUCUUCCUUGUGCGCAGCACCAAGGAAGGAGAAAAGAAAUUGUAUAGCAUGGUUAAGGCUAUAUAUUAGCAAAUAUGAAGACACAGAUCAGGUAGCUUACCAGUUUAAUUCGAUCAUUUGCACUAGUUACCAUGUAAGAUCAAGAAGUCAGCCUGGAAAGGGAAGAUCUAAAAUGCAAAAUUGCAAUAUGGUAAAUCAAACUGAGGGCAACAGAUGGUCUCCCUGUAGAAUUUCAGAAAUAACUUUGAAAGCACAGAAAAUAUAUUAGGUAACACAUGGGAAUAGAAAUGUCAACACCUUAUCCCCAUGAGCUGCCUUCGUAUGAGUAUUCACACCGAUUCCAUGAAACUGCAGAGGGGUGUAACAGUCCUUAUGUGGGUCUCUGGUUGUGAACUGUGCCUUUCCCUUGAGAAAUGCCAGAGAGCAAGAGCUAUCCAACAUCAGAACGACCAUGUUGUCUGAGGGAAAGCGGCAGCCUCCUUCUCUUAGUGCAUCACAGCUUUGCUAUUUGCAGCCAGCUUGCCUCUGGAGAAGCACAAAGGAAGGUGGAUGGUGGGCAAUGCCAUGGACAGAAGGCAGCCUUCACCUCCUGCCAUUGCUUUAGCCUGUCCCCUUUCAGUGGACAUGCCCAUAAAGGCACACAGUAGGUGUAAAACAGGCAUGGGGAACCCAUGGCCCUCCAGAAGUUACCAGACUACAGUUCCCAUAAUCCCUGACCAUUGUUCAUGCCAGCUGGGGUUGAUGGGAGCUGGAGUCCAGCAAUGUCUGGAGAGGCAUAGGUUUCCUGCCCCUGUUGCAAACACAGACACACAUCUACCAGCACUUCUGAUAUGACCUUCCUGCGGCAACUGGCCUCUCUGCAUUUUGCACACAGAAAAGUAUUGCUUCAAAAGGAAGAUGGUGACUCCCAAAAGUGAUAUUUCUGCAAGCUGCAGCCCCAAGAUCAGGCAGGGCAAUGGAGGGGCAGGGGAGAGAGAAGCAAAAUGGAAUGGUCUGCACUUGGACAAGAGGCUUACACCAGCAGAAUGUAGCUUUUAGCAAACUGAAAUGCUGGGAAGGUGGUGAAGUUUCAUGUCUUGCCUGCACCAACAGGCACAAGAAGCUGGGCAGAUAUACUUAGGAGAAAUGGAAGGGGGGUGGCAGUAGGCAGUAGUUCAACCAAGGAUGACAUUUUGCAAAUCAAACAUGAAUGGGACAACUUUCUGUGUCAAUGAAACCCAAACCAAACAAAGCCUAAAUGCUGUUAAUUACCCUUUUGCUCAUAGACACAAGUAGAUAAGGGGCCUGGUGGAUUUUUGCCACAUUACCAAUGCACCAUAAAAGGAUUCUUGUCUACAUAAUUGGAGUAAUACCACAGGAUAAAUGGAAGUGGAUGGUUUGUUCGAAUAGAAAUUGGAAGAAUAUUGCAAAAUCCAUGACAAUUAGGGCUGCAAGUUGUAACUGGUACAGGCAGUGCAGCCUCUUCUGCACAAGGCAUGCUGGAGCGCACAAGUUCUGGAGCAGGUGCUCCAAUGAACUUUGAGCUUUGCCUUGUUUUAUACACACUAGUCUCCUGUUUUAAAACAAGCUCCUUGAGGGAGGGAGGUGUCUGGUGCUGAGCUUUCUCAUGAGGAUUUAGAAUCCACUAAGGGAUCCAUUAGCUGCUUUCUCCAGGACAACAGAUUCAAGGGUUUUGUUACCCGGUAAGCUUAUUUUCUAUGUAUAAAACCAGAGAGCAAGAAAAUUAGGUUUGCUUCAGUGAAGUACAACAAUGAAGCUUUGCAUAUCAUUGACAUUCAAAGUUAUGGUCCUGCAUAGUUGUUGUUUCAUCUUUUAUGUGGUUGGAAGCAAUUUCAAAACUUGCAAAGUGUUUGUUACAUGUGCUACAAGUGCACUGUGCUGAAGAACAAGUGUCAUUCUACACUCAUUGUGUUUUAUUGCUGCACAUUAUCCCAAUCUAAUGAAACAGCUGAAAAGUAUGUAAUAGUGUCAAGAAAGGAACCCCAAAUCAGGGGUAGCCAAUGCAGUGCCCUCAAGAAGUUCCUAGAAUACAAAUCCCAUCAUCCUUGACCAUCAGCCAUACUGGCUGGGGCUGUUGGGGGUUGAAGUCCACAACAUCUGGAUGGCUCUAUAUUGGCUAUCCUAUGCCUAAAUAAUCAUCUAUUCCAGUGCUGUCUAUUUUGAUUGACAGCAGCUCUUCCAAAACUCAGGUCAGAGAAGCCUUCCAAUGUCCUCCUACAUGAGAUCCCUUUAAACAAAGGAUGUCAGGAGCUGUACUUCGAAUGUUAAGCAUGCAAAGCUUCACCAAUAUAUGCUUUAUAUAUUAUAAGAAAAAAUAUAUUACGUCCUUUCUGGCCUAGAUGCAAACACCUAGACAGCAACCAUAUAUACACAUUUUCCUAGGAUUCAAUAAGACAUGCACAUUCACUUGAAAAUACAUUCCACCUAUUUCAAUUAUGCUUACUUUCAAAUAAAUGCUUAGGAUGACAGUGUGCCUAUAAGGACAGCCUUCAAUUUGCUAAGUAGUUUGUUUACAUCACUGAAGGCAAGACCAUUGGCUGGUUUUCAAAGGUGCAAUCAAUAGGCAAUGAGAAAUGCGCUCUCCAACUUAAGCAUCACAGAUGCUGAGAGAGAGCAGAGAUUAUUAAAUAACGAUUAUAAACUAUUUGCCGAUGUGCUGGCGGAAAGACUAAAAAAAGUGUUAAAUAAAAGAAUCCAUAAAGACCAAGCGGGUUUCCUACCGGGGAGACAACUAAAAGACAACGUAAGAACGGUGAUAGAUAUUAUUGAAUACUUGGAAAGUAGAAUAGAUAAGCAGGCAGCGCUGAUAUUUAUAGAUGCCGAAAAGGCAUUUGAUAAUAUCUCUUGGCGCUUUAUGAAGGAAAAUUUGAAAAUGAUGGGGAUUGGAGAAGGAUUUAGAAAAGGUAUUGAAGCUAUUUAUCAAGAGCAAAAAGCCAAACUUAUAAUAAACAAUAAUAUAUCAGAAUCUUUUGAUAUUGCUAAAGGGAUGAGGCAAGGAUGUCCUCUGUCUCCCCUGCUAUUUAUAACAGUGCUGGAAGUAUUUAAUAAGAAGUUAAGGGAAACAAUGGAGGUCAAAGGAGUGAAGGUAGGAAGUAAAGAAUAUAAAAUGAAAGCUUUCGCGGAUGACAUAGUAUUAACAUUGGAAGACCCAAAGAAUAGUCUGCAAGAAACAUUACAGAAAUUAGAAGAGUUCAGUAAAGUGGCAGGUCUUAAACUCAACAAGAACAAGACUAAAAUGUUGACAAAAAAUAUAAGCAAAGAAGAUAUAGUAGAAUUAGAACAAAAAACCAGAAUUAUGGCAGCAAAGAAGGUGAAAUAUCUCGGAGUGUGGAUUACAGCUAAAAACAUAAACUUAUAUAAAGAUAACUAUGAGGCUACUUGGAAGAGUAUUAAGAAAGAUCUAGAAAUCUGGGAGAGACUGAAACUUUCUUUUUUGGGGAGGAUAUCAGUUAUCAAAAUGAAUGUCUUGCCCAGAAUGCUAUUUUUGUUUCAAACUAUUCCAGUAAUUAAGGGGCUAAAACAGUGCAAAGAGUGGCAAAGGGCUUUGGCGAGAUAUAUUUGGCAGGGUAGAAGACCGCGAAUAAAAACGAAAAUAUUGGUAGAUAAAAAAGAGAGAGGAGGUUUCUCAUUACCAGAUUUGAGUUUAUACUAUGAAGCGGCGUGUUUAAUGUGGGUGAAAGAUUGGAUAAAACUGGAAAAUACUGAUAUUUUGGAUUUAGAGGGCUUCGAUAACAGGUACGGAUGGCACCCGUACCUGUGGUACGAGAAGGUGAAAGUUCAUAGAGGCUAUCUAAAUCAUAUAAUUAGAGGACCAAUAUUCCAAGUUUGGGAAAGAAAUAAAGAUUUGCUGGAAAAGAAAACACCCUGGUGGAUUUCACCAAUAGAAGUGCUGACUGUCAAAAAAACUAAUAUGGAGGGGGGGAAAGCCACUUAUGAAGAACUUACCAGGAAAACCGAUCAGGGCAUAAAACUUAAACCCUAUGAAGAGGUAAAUAACUUAUUUACAGGGUGGUUGCAAAACCACCAGGUAAACGACUUGCUAAAAGAAGGCAAAAAGAAAUUAGGAUUUGAAGAUAAAAAAUCUAAAUUUAAUGUGGAAGUUAUAGAAGGUAAAAAUAAAACUUUGUCUAUGAUGUAUGAUCUCUUAUUGGAUUGGUACACAAAAGACGAAGAGGUGAAGAAGGCUAUGACCAAAUGGGCCAUGGAUAUUGGUCACAAUAUUGAUUUUGUAAUGUGGCAUGAAUUGUGGAAUGUUAAUAUGAAGUUCACGGUGUGUACGGCAUUGAGGGAGAACCUUUGGAAAAUGAUUUAUAGGUGGUAUCUCACGCCAGUGAAGUUAGCUAAGAUUUAUAGAUUAAAGAAUAAGAAAUGCUGGAAAUGCGGAGAGGUAGAAGGUGACUUCUACCAUAUGUGGUGGACAUGCAGUAAGGUGAAAGGCUUUUGGGAACUGAUUUACAAUGAGCUUAAAAAAAAAUUGAAAUAUACUUUUCCAAAAAAGCCUGAAGCCUUCCUGCUAGGAAUAACUGGCAAAGAAAUUAAAAAAGAAGAUAAAAAUCUAUUUUUAUAUGCCACAACGGCCGCAAGAACCAUGUUAGAACAAAACUGGAAAAUGGAGGUAAUACCUACUAUAAGUGACUGGCAAGUCAAGAUGAUAAACUAUGCUGAGCUAGCUAAAAUAACAGGAAGAUUAAGGGAUCAGGACGAACAGAAAUUUCAUGACAAUUGGAACAAAUAUUUGACGUAUAUAAGAACUAAUUGUAGAACUUUGACGACACUGGCGGGACUGGAAUAACUCUGACAGCGAACGACUAAUAAGUAAAGGAGAUAAAAUACAUGAUUCCAGAAUUUAUCUGAUACUUACCAAAGGAGUGGAGGGAAGUCUAAGGCUCGGUGGAGCUUAAAACAACUAUGUAAUAUAUGUAUGAUUCAUGGACUGGAUAUGACACAUGUAAUUUAUGUAUUAUACUUUGUAUUUGUUUAUAUGUAUAUAUAAUGAUAAACCAAUAAAAACUCAUUUGCGAAAAGAGAGAGAGAGCAGAGAUAUGAUGAAGCCCUAGGCUCUAGACCAGAGAUCUGCCUCACUCCUCACCAAGGCUCUCCACUCCUUAGCAAUGGUGUGGCGUCUUGGAAAGGUAACCCAGUUGGGGUGUAUAUGAGGGCUCAACUGGGACCUAACACUUGUUGAAACAAGUAGUCUGCUUCCAACAACCUUACUGUGACCCCUACAAAAUCUCGUCUCUGCUCUCUACCUGGCCAGGCUUGGGAGGCUGAGGCCCUGACUGACUCCCGUUACAAAGAGUGCUUAUGCUGUCCCACAUGCCAGGAGGCCAUUGGGGUGGGAUAUUGUUUAUAGAGGCUAAUGCUGGAGUCAAGUUUUGUUUUGGGGAUGUAUUAUUUUUGCUGUUCUAUGGCUUAUGUUCUUGGGUUUUUAUUACUAGAUCUUAUUCUGAAUUACCUGAGAUGUUCAUGUUCCUGAGAUGCUAUCUUUAGCCUUUUAUUUCUAGGUCUGUUGAGAUUUCAUUACAUUUUGUAAUUGCAAAGCAUGUUCUCCAAUAAAUGAGAACACGUGUUGCGGUGUGGGCCGCCGGGCCAGGCUUCUUGUUGCCAGGCAGGUUAAGAGUUGUUGCCUGGCAUUAUGAUUGGGUAACCGGGUUGCUGGGGCAAAUUUUAUGUUGCAAAUUGGGUGGGUGGGACCAUAGUCUUUAAAUAUUGGUGCACUCUGGUUUCUCUUUCUCUUUGCAGAGUGCAUUGGAUCACCCGCCUGCCCGCCCACCCUCUUUUCCGGUUGACCUUGCUUUGCCUGUCAUGGGGUCGUCUGCUUUGGAGCAGGGGCCUAGUAGGAAUUUUGCCAUUUGGUGAUUGGCUGUGCCAUUUGGUUUUUGCCUACUACUCAGCAAUUUGUCACAACUUGUAAGGUUGCGGUUAGGCAUUGGUUAUAAUAUGCUGGUGGUGGAGGGGUCAGGAUAGGCUGUGCCUGCCCCUCCUAUUGCGCUGAAGGGAAUUCCGUUAAAGGAAUCCUGGGGCUUGCCACGAUUUCGUCCAAUCCCUGUCAUGGGACCAGGGCCGCCCAAUCCCUGUCAUGGGAAUCCCUGUCAUGGGAGCAGGGCCGGCAAGCUUUCGGGGAGCUGCUGGGGUGAGCGGCAUGGGUCCGACACUUAGUUCAAAUGACCCCCAAGUUUGACUUUCCCUUCUACUGGCUACUGAUCGGACCUCGGGAUGUCAGUUCUGUCCCAGGCGGGGGGGACAGAUAGUCAUAACCAAUGUCUAAACAACCACUCACUGAUUUUGUAUUUUAAUAAAGUUGUGGCCAAAAUAGUGCCCCAAAACCAAAACUAAAAUUAUGUGUUAUGUGUGAAGUUAUUUGAGGGGUGGCCUGGGGACCUACACACGCAAAGUGGAUUUUCUUAUGCUAACAUUUCAAUGUUAUGAGACAUUUGCCAUGGAAAAGCAUGAACGAUCCAUCUCUGAUGCUGGAAGCCAAGGCUCUAACCUUAACCCUAACCUGCAUCAUUAUUGGGACCUUGAUUUUUCAUUGGACUCCAUCUGCCUGUGUCUUCCUUCCCUCUCUUCCUGCCCCAGACUUGCCGAACUGCUUUCAUUCUCACUAUGGGCUCUGCUUUAUUGAGGCUGGCUAUUUCUUGGUCCCAGGAAAACACAUAGGAAGUGAAUGGAGAUUAAUGGAUCAGUCAAUUUCCACUGCAUGUCAGUUUUUCAUGUGUUCAUCCAUAGGUCCAUUGCAUCUGCCCUGUUACCAUGUCAAUUUGAAGACUUUUUAAAAACAAAACUCAAACAAAAAUGCACAUUAAAAACAAACAAACAAACAAACAAACAAACAAACAAACAAACAGGAUAUCAAGGAGGAAACAUUCCCUCCCAUAAAAUAUGCUUUUCAUAAAUCUUAUUUUACCCUAAGAUAUACAUUUUUAUGCAUUUUGGUAUUUGUCUGUGUGCCAAGAACCAUCACAACAGAAGUGCAAAAACUAAGUGGGAAUCAGGUCAGUUUGCUGAAAAAAUGCAGCCCAGGUGAAAACCUCGGGCAUCCCUGUGGCAGUGAAUGUAACUCCAUCGAAUCAGCCAAAUUUACUCUGUAUGCACUAGAUCCCUGUUGCAUUUGUGGCAAUCUCACCAGAUCAGCAUCUUCUCCAGAGCCUUUUUACUAGUUGCAAAGUGUACAGUCCUACUUGAGCAGAAGAGCAAAGUCUCCUUGCUAACUGAAAGGCUGAAUAGCAGAUCCAGUAACAACAGCAGAACUUCUGAACCAAACACAACCAGCAGUCAACAGGCAAAGAAGUGGUUUUAUUGGUAGUCAGAGAGACAUCUUUGGAUGGGUUCUGAGACGCACAAGGGAGUCUCUCUCCCAUUUAAGCUAAGUGAUAUGGCCCUCCUUUUGUCCAUUAACAUACUUCUGGUUCAUCUUUCCUCUCAAACACUUCCACACUUAUCCUAGUUCACUCUCAUUUCUGUGCUACUCUGGAGGGAAGCUGAAGACAGACGUUUGGUUUUCUCUUUCAUCUGCCUUUCUUGAUUCAUUAUCCUUUCCUUUGCCCCCAAUUUCCCCAUUUUUGCUCUUCAUUCUCUGCCUCCCUUUCAAUUCCCAUGGAAGGAUGGUUUUAACUUUUUAAAAGCCACACAAUAAUUCAAAUUGUAUGCACCUGGAUUUUAUGGGUCAUUUUAUGUAUUUCUGCAGCUACCCAUCACAUUUCUGAAAUACUGUAAAAUUACUCUGGGUGGUAAAGAAAUGUUUCUCCCCCAGCCCCCUAGCACGAAGCUGUCCGUCUCCACUAGUUAUUCUGGUCCCUUGGAAGCUUACAAAUGGAACUGAAUGUAAUCUAUUAUGAAACACGCUGUUAAAAAUAAAAUGUUAGAAAUAGCAAGCUCCUACCUAGCACAGAGCAAGAUUGAUUAUUGCAGUGAGCGGAAAAAAGAAAAAAGAAAAAAAAGAACCAACCCCUCAAACCCUAUCACAUUUGGAUGGAGUGAAGUAUAAUGCACUAGAUUUGUAGAACUAGAAUAUUCUAUUAAUUAUGUUCUACUUAUUAUAUAAGGCAGUGUCAUCGAUGCCUAUAUUAAUAGCACCUUGCAAUUCUACGCACAAAAUAUUUUAAGAGGUAGGUGCAUAAUUGGUGCAUAUAUUUAUGAGAGAUCAGAUUACAUCCUCCAGUAGAGUUAUAUUUACACCUUUCAUUUUACAUCUUUUCAUAAUGUAGGAAAUGCAGUGCGGUUUGACCAUCUGCUUGCCUUGUGUGUGUUCUUGUUGUAUAUAGAAAAAGAGUCUAUUGCAUAACAUGGAUGUGUUUGGAAAGACAGCAUAUUUAUUUCAUUGAUGUUAAAGGUCCCUCCCUGAGGUCCCUCAUUAAACACAGUACCACACCUCCAUUGUGGUGCAAAUUCAUGCUAUUUAUUUAAAGCAUCUAGGAAUGACGAAGUGUAUGCUGUGACUUAGAAUUCUAAGAGUUUCACUUUGGAAAGCCGGGGAUGCAGAAAUAAUUUCAAAAUACAUUAAAGGGUGCACUGGGAUGGCUGAGUGAACCCCCCCCCCCGAAAGGGUGAAGACCUGGUGGGGGACAUUAUCCAUUCCUAUCAAGCUGGCCCAAGACCUUUCACUGCCUGAGGCAAAAGACAAGAGAGCGCCCUGCCACCAUUCCCAAUACCAGAAGUCUACCAGACCGCCAUUGUCUCAGUUGCUAAUCUGCUUUCUUGUAACUUGAAGCCAUUGGUUCGUGUCCUACCCUCCAGGGCUGGACAAAAGAAGCUUGUUCCAUCUUCCAUGUGACAGCCCUUAAGAUAUUUGAAGAUGGCUAUCCCAUCUCCUCUCAGUCUUCUCUUUCCCAGACUAAACAUACCCAACUCCUUCAAACAUUCCUCAUAAGACUUGGUUCCCAGACCCUUCGCCCUCCUAUGCACAUGUUCCAGCUUGUCCAUCUCCAUAUUCUUCUUAAAUUGUACACAGUACUCCAGAUGUGGCCUAACCAAGACUGAAUAGAGUGGGACUAUUAUUUCUCUUGAUCAGGACACUAUACUUCUGUUGAUGCAGCCUAGAAUAACAUUAGGGUUUUUUUCUGAUGCAUCACACUGUUGACUCAUGCCAAGCUUGUGGCCUACUAUGACCCUCUAGAUCCUUUUCACAUGUGCUCCUGGCAAGACAGGUGUCACCCCACCAUAUAUUUGUGCAGCUGGCUCUUCCUGCUUAAGUGCAGAACAUCGGAAGCAUCCGAAAGCAAACAAACAAGAAUGAAACAAGUAGGAUGGCAGUAGCUAGAGUAUAAAUAUUUUUCUGCAGUAUUCGUGUAAGAAAACUUACUCGAGCUAGGAUCUAAUAAUGCUCCACAGAAAAAGCAGGCACAUAUCAGAACUUUACCAGUCCCCCACUACAGCCCUUCAUGAGCCUGAGAAGCUGCUCAUGAAGAUUGAAGUAACCUAUAGAGCCACAUCUAUAUUGCUACAUAUGCACAUGCAGAAGUGCUUUUUUUGUGCAUGUGGUGUUGCUGGUGGGGAGCUGAAUCCUGACCGUUGAAGGCAGGAAACUGAUAAGGCAUUUCUCAUGAGAUUACCAAAGCUGGAACUUAAUUUGGAAAGCAUAAAAGAUAAGACUAUCAUGCUGGACCAGCUGGUGGAUAGUAGAACUGGCAACAGCGUAACAAAAAUCCAUGUGAUUCUAUUUCCAGUGUCACCCUAACCCUAACCUGAAUUAAUCAAGAGGAAUUUAGUUCAAUUGGGUGUAGCAGGAGGACUUUAGCUGAAGAGUGGUGUGAAUGCAGGUCAACAUGACUUGAACUAGAAGGCCUUUCUGGCAUCAUUUGGUCCAAAGCAAGUUUGGAGAAACUCCAGUCCAGGGGCUUAAGUAGACCCCACAUGGGUCCAUAUGUAUGCUAUCUCACACUUCACUGCACAGAAACAGUGACACAUAUGUGCAGCCAAGUUCACAGGACACCUAUGGAUGAUCCAUAGAAUGCCUGAACAAAGCACUGCUGAUUAUGAGGAUCAUCCUUGACUCAGCAAAGCAACCCGUUGUCAGCUGCGUUCCAUUGCUGACAGAGGGGGAGAGUGUGGAGAGACAGGUGGAGGUAAUUAGGCAGGAAUGCGGAAGGGGUGAGGAGCAGCCAAUUUGCAGUAGAAGCCUGAGUGCCAAGAACAAGGAGAAGGGAGGGGGGAGUUCAAGGGAGAAGAUGCAGACUGACAGCUGUAGCUCAGACUCAGAGGGAGAGCUACUGGGAAUUGCCCAUCCCAAGGUGCAUAGGCUCACAAAGAUUAAUGAAAGGCAUGAACAGGAAAGGAAGCGUAAGUGGGGCUUUAAAAGUGGAAGGGCCUACCUCAGAUUUGGCAACAGCAAACUUGGAAGCUGACGCUGAGUGACUGAGCUCCAGAGUGAUUUGCGUGUUUGGAGCAAUAAAACCUGAGUUAAUUGCUGCCAGUGUUGUCUUGCUUCUGUGGGAGAGACCCAACCAUAACACCCGUUGGUCAGUGGGCAUAUGGUGUUGGAACACCUCAAGUGAAGCCUGCUUGGGCCUUUAAAUUCUGUUUUGUGUUGGUGUUUUGUUUUACUUAAGAUCAUCAUGAUGACUGGGAGGAGUCAUGUGCAGGAUGGCUGAAGAGGACAACAGAUGCUGAAGAGGACAACAG
rnacentral:lncRNA from 1 species